UGUUAGGUUAGCGCGAGGCGUGACCUAGUUGACAGGCUCUGAGGUGCUGCUGUGGCGGCGGCGGCCGGGCAGAGCGGGCGGGUUGAGGGAGGAGGGCGGCGACGGGCCAGCGGCUAGCGGCGCGGGACGCAGAGCCUUUGCACUUUUCCCUCCCGAGUGUCCCCCCACAUCCCCCCCACACUCCACACACCCUGUUUGCCCGUGAGCCUGGGGAACUUGCAGCUUAAAGCCAGCCACCCCCACGGCAGCAUGUACCCCAGCAACAAGAAGAAAAAGGUGUGGAGAGAGGAGAAAGAACGUUUGCUGAAGAUGACCUUAGAGGAGAGACGCAAAGAAUACAUAAGGGACUAUGUUUCUCUGAGCACCAUUCUGUCAUGGAAGGAAGAGAUGAAGAGCAAAGGCCAAAAUGAUGAAGAAAAUGCUCAGGAAGCACCACAGGUGAAGAAAAGCUUGAGUGAAAAGGUUUCUCUCUACAGAGGUGACAUCACCCUGCUAGAGGUGGAUGCAAUCGUCAAUGCGGCAGAUGAGAUUAAGACCAAAUGUUUCUUUACUGAUAGAGGUGGAAGAGUGGAGCCUUUUCCAGGUAGAGGAAGUACCACAAACCGAGGGAUGGAGAGAGGAUACGAUUUGAUGCUUUGAAUAACCUGUAAGAUGUGCAAAACCUUCAAAGUAGUGAAAGAAGCCAACCAGGCAGAUGCAAAGGUAUCUUGGAGGCUCCUGUAAUCUUGCAGUAAGUGGUGAGUCCCCAAAGUACUCUGUACUCUGAUGGUAGAUUUGGGGACAGAAUGUACACAGUGAAGACCAUAGGUUAGGUAGGAAGGUUGAUCAGAGUAGGAUGACUCCGUUUCUGAUUUGGGUGUCUGAAUCCAUUGUAGUGUUACUAAAAAUAUUUUCAAAGGGAGUAAGGAAGAAAGACAAUUAUUGUAAUUUCAAGUUAAAGGAUUAAAGUUCACUUGGAAUAUCUACCUGGAACUGUUAUCAUAAGGUGUUUAUGUCUCUGAAGAUUAGAAGUUUGUUAGCUUUUGAUAUAGAUGUAGAAGUGAAUUUUUGUUUUGGAAUUACAAGUGUUCUAUAAGAGAAAUUAACUGGAAGGAGAUAGUUUAGGAACAUGAAACAAGUAAUUCUUAGUGCUAGCAACGCUUAGGAAAACAAGUUAGAGUAGCUCAGAUGUUGCAGAGGUCAGAGAACUUAUGUAGCACAAUGUCAAUAAGUCAACCACAUGGGAGCAGGCGUCAGUGAUAAGUACAUCAGAGCAUGUGUUAGACUCUUAGGAAGAGAGAAGGAGGAUAACAAGAUAGGGAGCGAUGCAGGUCCGUGACCUGUACCUGUAAGACUGAGCAGGGUUUUAGUGGUUGGGAUUAUGAUGUAAUUAUACCUUUCCUCCCUUACCUUUCCUCCCUCAAAACUGUCUCAUAAUUCUCUUUGCCCUUUGCUCUGUCAAAUUUAUGGCCUCUUUUUAACUUGCUGAUAUAUUUAUAUUCCUACAUACAUAAAUAAACGUGUCCAGUCUGUCCAGUGUUACUUGAAUGUGUGUUUUCAGAGCUGAUUUUUGGAUAACCACUUAGUGGACUCUUCCCUGGGAAGACUUUCUCCAGUGCUCAGCACUCUUUUUGCCUGUAGCUCCUUAUGUAGGGUGAGGCCUCCUUGGUUUCCCCAUAUCUAUGUUAGCAUACCUAACAUGUUGUCCUUCUUCAGUCCAAGCACAUGUUGAACAUAAAUAAUUUUGCAGUGACCCCUUAUGUAAGUAUCCCUGGACUCAGGGGUCAGCAAAACCUUCCUCACUGUCUCAUUGGGUUUCUUUAUGGUCAACACUAAAGCAUAUGAAAUCAAUUAUAGAUUCCAUGUUCCUUCUUCCUUUGUCUAUCACAAGACAUUUCUUUCAUGGCUGUAAUAAUAGUAUCUUAGUUGAUUAAAUCAACACUUGAUGCCUUAAUAUUAUCCAAUAGGGAUCAUAAUCAGACUUCAUUUGUCUUAAAAAGGUUUUUUGUUUAUUUGAAUUGGUACCCCAAAAGCCUACACACUGCUGUCAGUUUUGAAGGUUCCCCACUGUUGCACCCUCCAUGUUCACCUUGAGGCAAACUAGGGUCACUUCUUUACUCCCUUGUGUGUUUGCUUUGCUAUGCAACCCUCUGUCCUCUGUGGCCAUUGUAAACGAGUGAGUUGUUAGGCUUAGAACCAUUGUUUUCUUGCUCUUUUUUAUUUUUCAGGAAAAAUUUCAAGUCAGAUGUUAAAUGUCUUGUAGAUGAUAUUGAAACAGUAGCGUUCCGUUUUAUGAAUUGUUGAUAAUCUGAAAUUAUUCCUUUAAUAAUAGAAACAUCAGAGUGAAUCCUUCUUUUAAAAGGACCUGCCCCUACAGUGUCAGUGGUCUGUUCCAAAAUUUCUUAGGUCUUCAAAAUAGUACAAUGAAUAUGAAAUAUUCAUUUAAAAUUACAGUGCUAAAUAGAUUUCCCUGCAAUAUCAAUUAACUUAUACUAUUACAUUGCACACAUACUUUCAAUUAUUGUUUCCUCUCUUUCCUGUGUCCUUUUUUCCAUCCCUUCAAAAACAAGCUAUCUGUUCCCAUGGAAGCCUUAACCAAGACAGAUAAAUAUCAGCAUCAUGGUUGGAAUACCAGAGCACAGUGCCAGCAAUUAUCCCACAAUGUGUGUGUUGGCAAUAACACACAGGGACUUGAGCGUAUUGCUAAUGGCCAUCAAGGGUUGCAAGCUAGUCUCUAAACAAAUUAAAGUGCCCCAGAGGACUUCUUCAGCACAGUAUAAUCAAGAUUUGGAGAUAUGAGCUGCUUUGUUAGGGCUUGUUGUGAAUUUUGCAUUGCCCUAUUGUAUGUGAAAAUUAGUGCCAACCUUGUAAACUGACCUACAUAACACGCAGAACAACCAAGAAGACAUUGAACUAGCCAUAGAAACAUGGGGUAUCACUGAGAAGGCACAUUAUAAUGCAGGGAAUCCUAGUGUGGGAGUGAGAAUGCAAGGACUCUGGGUUUAGAUGGAGCUUGAUUAGGGAAAUGUGCUGGUAUCUGUCAUCUCAGAGCUGAAAUGUGUCGAUCCGCAUCACCGAGCAGAAGGGUACUCCCAGGAAUAGAGGAGUCUUUGGCUUAAAUAAAUCACAAAGCUGACUUACUCUCACUUUUUUUCUUUUUUAAAGAUAACACUGACAAUAUAGGUCUUAUCAUUCUUAUCAGAAUAAAUAAGAAAGAUAAAGGGGAUAAAGGAUAUAUUAAAAAGUUGAGGGCUUUUUAAAUUAAAGUUGAUUUUUAAGAAAAAUUAUAUGAAAAUGCUCUUUUACAGUUCCUUUGUGCUUUGUUACACAAUAGAUAUUAAUGAAGUAAGAGUGAUGAAUAUUUUCUCACUAGCACUCACACUUUUGUAAUGCUGAAUCCACUCUUUAAAUAUGCUGGAUUUCGAAAGUCAGAUUCUCUUCAACCUCACAGAUAAAAUAAUUUAUUUUUAAUGCCACGUUUUAAUAAUUUUUAUUAUAGUUAUAGUUUGUUGUAUUGAAAACCUCCUCUUUACCCCUGCUAAUUCUAAUUCUGGGAAAUAUUCUUAUAGGUGGUUCUCUCAUUCUUUGUCAAUAUUACAUAAGCAUUUCAUCUACUAAUAGGAAUUAAUACGUAUUAUAUCCAUGAAGAGAUUAUAAGGCAGGGCACUAAAAACUGAUACACAUAAAGUAAUUUGUUUUGUACCAUCUGCAUUAUAGAAAAAACAUGAAGUAAAUUUGAAAUCAUACUAGAGCCAUAAAUAUGUUAAGGGUUUACUAUUGGGCAAAUUUUUCUCAGAAGCAGUACAUACAGCUGAGUGUGGUAGUACAUAUUUGUAAUCCUAGAGUUUGGGAGGCUGAAGGAGGAGGACUAUAAGUUCAAGAACAGCCAGGAGUGAUACUCUGUUAAGAAAAAAUAAGUACACACACACACACACACACACACACACACACCUCUCACACAUCUCAACAUACUGAUUUCUUUCCCAGGUAGAUUUAAUGGUUAGAAUAUGCCCUCUAACCCGAAAUAAAAUAUUCCUCUCUGACUCUCUUCUCGGUUGUAAUGAUUACCACUUCUAGAUCAUCUCACCAAAUCUUCUAGACCUGGCAGCCAUCCCGAUGUAUGAAUACAGGUCCCUUGCUUCUCUUUGCAAAGCCAUAUUUCUCUUACUUUCUUAACUUCAUUUUCCUUUAUAAUUAUAGUAUCAUGGCCCUUCAUAAUUCUAUUCAGACUCCUCUAAAUAACUGGAUUUGUUGUGUUGUAAUUUCCUUAAAAUGAGGAUAUCAUCCAGGUCUGAUGUGCUAGAGCAUAAGUGUCCUACUGUCUGACUAAUGUUGGUUGUCACAUGGAUGCAACCUAAUACAUGCCGUAUGUAGUGUAAAACUACAGGAGACUCUGGUUAAGUGAUCUUUACGUUCCUUAAUCCUUUUCCUUCUUGUUUUGCUAUAUAAAUGGCUUCAGCUCUAUAUUCACUUACAAGAUGUGCUAUAUUCAUAUUAUUUAAAUACAUAUCUUUCUCUUUUUUUCCCAGAGCUGAGGAGUGAACCCGGUACAAACCCGGUACACAUCUUUCUUUUCUGGCUUUCAUCUUUGGUCCUUUCAAAGGAAUUUAGAGUUCUAAUUCCAUAUCUUUCUCCUGUGAAUUGUGAAUCUCCAACUCAAGUAGUGAGACUGGGAACUAAUUUUUGUGCUUCUAAAGGGUGAAUCACAUAGGUAUAUGUAUGUGGGGGGUAGGAUGGAUAACAUAAUUGAUGCCUGACUUUUGCCAAAGUACCUGACAUUUGAUAACUCUACCUUUUUUCUUAUUGUUGAAUUUAUGUUUAGGAAUGUCAACAACUUUCUAGAUGAUCCUGUCAAAGUCACACAAAUGUACUUGUACUUGGGAAUAAACACAAGGUUGCAAUAUAGGACACACAAGUAGUGUUGGCUAUGGAAUCACCAAGAAAAGAAGGGAGGGCUGGGGUUUUCCUGGGGAAAAUAGAAAAGGUGACCAGGAAGAUGGGUCCGUGAGUAAGAGCACUAGGCACUCAACUUACAUGGCAAAAGGGAUGUGCAUCAAUAUUCCAGCACUCCUAUACUGAGACGGGAGGUGCAAACAGGACAGGUGCUCAGAGCCUAGAACAUGCAGCAUGUGGCAUAGACAAUGAGAGCUGUUCAACCCCAACGAAGCAGAAGGUGACAUUUCACUCACAGAUAUUUUCUGACUUCCACAUAUGUGCCAUGGUGUACAUCCUCCCAAAGAGAAGAAAGGCUGGGGCAAGGGGAGGUGGUCUGAAAGAAGUUUAUUGAUUCCUGUGGUAGUGUGAGUGCUGGUAAGCUCUAGUUGUUAACUGGCUUCAAAUAGCAAGUAAACACAGCUUAAAACUCACAGCAGUCUAUUUCCUUUAGUAAGUUUGGGAGACAGUGAACUAAAGAAAGUGCUCCUGCAAGAAAUCCACUGUCUUUAUGAUAUAUGUUAUUAAUUAGUUUUCUGAUUGCUGUGACAAAAUAUCUAUCAAAAGCCACUUGUGAAAGAAAGGAUUUAUUUUGGUGCCCAGGCUCAAGGCAUGGGCUAUUAUAACAAUGAAAAUAUAGUCAGGACCACAGGAUCGCUACUCAUACCACAUGCAUGGUUUAGAGAAAGGGACAGAUGAAUUUGGGUGUUCAGCUUACUCUUUGCUUUGUAUUCUCUUCUGGACCCCAGAUCAUGGAAAGAUGACAUUGACUUUUUUAUCAUUGCCCAAUUAAAACCGGUUAACUUUAACUGAAUUUUAACUGCCACCUACAAUAGACAAGAAAAUGAGUCACAGUUCUGCAUUGAUUUUAGAAACAUGAAAUGUAAAAGGUAAUAAAUAAAAAUAUUUUCCCUUCUUUUCUUUUCUUCUGUUGGAUUUUAAUUUACAUUUCAAAUGUUAUCCCUUUCCAGAUUUUCUGUCCAUAAACUUCCUAUCCCAUAGCCCUUCCCCCUUCUAUGAGGGUGUUCGUACCACCCCUUCCUGCCUCCCCACACUGACAUUCCCCUACACUGGGGGGAGGGAGGGUUUAGCCUUGGUAGGACCAAGGACUUCUCCCAUUGGUGCCUAACAAGGCCAUCUUCCACUACAUAUGCAGCCAGAGCCAUGGGUCUAUCCAUGUGUACUCUUGGAUGGUGGUUUAGUUCUUUGGCGCUCUGGUUGGUGGUAUUGUUGUUCUUAUGGGCUUGCAAACCCCUUUAGUUCCUUUAAUCCUUUCUCUAACUCUUCCAAUAGGUACCCAUUCUUAGUUCAAUGGUUGUCUAUGAGCAUCCCCUUCUGUAUUUGUCAUGCUCUGACAGAGCCUCUCAGGAGACAGCUAUAUCAGGCUCCUGUCAGCAUGCAAUUCUUAGCAUCCUCAAUAUUGUCUGGGUUUGGUGGCUAAAUGUAUAUGGGCUGGAUUCAAAGGUGGGGCAGGCUGUGAUUCGCCAUUCCUCCAGUUUCUGCUCCAAACUUUGUCUCCAUAUCUCCUCCUAUGAAUGUUUUUGUUCCCCCUUUUAAGAAGUACUGAAGCAUCCACACUUUAGUUCUUCUUGAGCUACAUGUGCUCUGUGGAUUGUAUCUUGGGUAAUUCGAGCUUUUGGGCUAAUAGCCACUUAUCAGUGAGAGCAGACCAUGUGUUCUUUUUUGUGAUUGGGUUACCUCACACAGGAUGAUAGUUUCUAGUUCUAUCCACUUGCCUAAGAAUUUCAUAACAUGAUUGUUUUAAUAGCUGAGUAGUACUCCAUUGUGUAAAUGUACCACAUUUUCUGAAUCCACACCUCUGUUGAAGGACAUCUGGGUUCUUUCUAGCUUCUGGCUAUUAUAAAUAAGGCUGCUAUGAACAUAGUGGAGCAUGUGUCCUUGUUAUAUGUUGGAGCAUCUUUUAGGUAUAUGACCAGGAGUAGUUUAGUUGGGUCCUCAGGUAGUGCAAUGUCCAAUUUUCUGAGGAACCUCCAGACUGAUUUCCAGAAUCAUUGUACGAGCUUGCAAUUACACUAACAAUGGAGGAGUGUUCCUCUUUUUCCACAUCCUCAUCAGCAUCUGUUGUCACUUGAGUUUUUGCUCUUAGCCAUUCUGACUGGUGUGAGGUGGAAUCUCAGGGUUGUUUUGAUUUGCAUUUCCCUGAUGACUAAGGGUGUUGAACAUUUCUUUAAGUGCUUCUCAGCUGUUUGAUAUUGUUCAGCUGAGAAUCCUUUGUUUAACUCUGUACCCCGACACCUAUGGUCACUUGAUCUUUGACAAUGAUCAAAAACUAUCCAGUGAAAAAAAGACAGCAUUUCAACAAAUGGUAAUGGUUCAACUGGGGGUCAGCAUGUAGAAAAAUGCAAAUAGAUCCAUUCUUAUUGCCCUGUACAAAGCUCAAGUCCAAGCGGAUCAAGGAUCUCCAUAUAAAACCAGAUACAUUCAAACUAUAGAUGAAAAGUGGGGAAGAGCCUUGAACACAUGGGCACUGUGGAAAAUUUCCUGAACAGAACACCAAUGGCUUAUGCCAUUAACAAUCAACAAAUAGGACUUCAUAGAAUUGCAAAGCUUCUGUAAGGCAAAGGACACUGACAUUAGGACUAAAUGGCAAUCAACAGAUUGGGAAAAGAUCUUUACCAAUACUACAUCCUACAGAGGGCUAAUACCCAAUAUAUACAAAGAACUCAAGAAGUUAGACUCCAGAGAAUCAAAUAACCCUAUUAAAGAUAUUGACUUUUUGGGUGGGAUCACCCUGAAAUUCCAUGCAGACUCUCAGAGUUAUCUUCUCUGUGGUUUUGGAUCCUGUCAAAUUGACAGUCAGUACUAACCAUCAUGCGAUGUUGUCAGGCAAAUCGUGUGAAUACUCCCCCUUCAUCUAUCAGGGUUUGGCCUUUGUAACUCCAUUUUGAAACUGAUAACCAUGCAUAACCAUAAACAUGAUAACCAACUGUUUAGAGGCCUUGUUCUUGAUAGCAUUUGCUCGUUUUAACUUUGAAAGACAUAAAAUUUGCCUUUUUGCUUUACCAAACAAGACUCAUUCAUUCUGAGAUCCAAGAUCUAUUUUUUUUCUGUUCAUCUUGCUGACCUUAAUAAAUUCAAAAUUGUUAGGUUGACUUGUGCCUAAAUCUCACUAAUACCAUGUAUGGCUGAAGUAGGGUUCAAGUUCCCCAUUUCUUUUCAUACCAUUGAUACCUUUAUUUUUUUCUAUGCGAGUCAUAAAUUUAUGUAAGGUGGCACUACAGAUUCAGAAUUUUCCCAAGAAAGUAAAAAGUCUAAAGAUUCUUGAGUAUGCUCUGGUAUCUGUGGACCUUUAUCUGAGAACCAUUCAGUUUCUGCCAUGAGAUAGCUUUGACUGAGAGCUCUGGGGACUAGUGAAAGGGCCAAUUGUGGUUAUCCAAGCUUCUAUUUCCUUUGCAGUUGAAGUGCCAUCAUCUACUUUUCAUGACUCUUAUGUGUUAAAUUGACAAUAGUAGCUAUCUUCAGGCACCUUUUUCCUAAUUGGUUGGAACUUUUCAAAACUAACACAUCUUCUGUGAGAGAAAACUCUAAGCUCAGUUCAAUUAAUAUUAUUUGUGAGGCACUAUUGUGGGUGUGGACUUGUUCCUGGUUUCAUGGGUGACAGUUGUUAGACCAGGAAGGAGCUUGCUUACCUCAGAGCCUUUAAAGAAGAUAAUCAAUUGGUAAUGAGAAUGCUGAGUUGAUAUAGACUGAGAAAUCGAUUUGGAGCCCAAGUGACAGUAAUGAUACUCAUGAAAUCCUGGUAACACUUUUACACACCAAGGACAGAGACAUAUUCAAGGAACAACUUAUUGAAGGAACACACUUAAAGUGUUGUUUAAGAGGUUUCCAAAGAACUAGUUUACGUGUUUUGAUGUUUCUGGGAGACUGAGAUGUGCCUUAAUGGCUUAACUAGGCAUCUGGUGGUUAAUUACACACUCGCGCUGGAAAGUCUUUAAGGAAAGGAGUGGAGGCUGUUGUUUAACUCUCAUUUAUUUACUUAUUCAUCAGAUGUUCCCUUGAUAUCACCUCAGUGCAAGGCAUUGUACUCUUAAAGAAAAAUAUGAGAACGGAGACUCUACCCUAGUCAAAGACAGAGAAAGGGAUGGGGAAAACAUGGGCAGAGGUUAGGUGAGCCCCCCACUGAUGUGUUCUCUCACUCUCUAAUCCUUUCAUACUGCCGGAAAGAUACAGAAUGCCCAUAGGAUGAAGUAUAAUCUGCAGAAUUCCUUGUGUUCGGCAUCAGGCUAAUUAAAAUUAAAGCAAGCAACUGAACAAUUUCUAGCUGGAGCAUUGCAUUGGCUCCUAGAAAGGAAACCUGAUGCUUGGUUUUCAUGCAGAGGGAGAAAAUGUGUAGGAAGGGUUUUCAACUUCUUCUUAUAACAAAUGAGAUAGAGCUCGGGCCUUCUGGUCUGUGGAAGGACAUGCUCAGAAAGUCUUAGAGAUAGUUAAUGAACAGUGGAUUUUCAUUUGCUCUCAGAUGGAUUUUUGUUUUCAGGUGACCUUGAUCUCGCUCCAUAGCUCAGGCUGGUAUCAAAGUUACAGAGAUAAAGAUCUAUCAGCAUUCACCUCUUAAUUUAUAUGAACUUGAAUCACUACCUCUGUCUGUGCUCAGCAAUUUCCAAAGGGUUCACAAUUUCAUUGCAGUAAAUACUCUUUAUUUGUGAUUAUUCAAACAUAUACUUAGGCAUCUGUUUAUCCAUAUUCAGUCUCUUUUUUCUGUAAAUGGACCUUUCAGUUUAGAAUUGAGCUAGGCUAUAGAGAGAGGAUUGGUUAUCUAGCAGUAGAAAAGCAAUGAUAAUUAAGUUUAAAAAACUGAAAUUAAUUAGCAUGCUCUAUAGUGUAUAGGUGAAACAGCACAGCUUGCGGACUUGCUUGGAAACAGUGUUUCCUGUAUGCUCCAACCAUCGCUUUCUAGGUCUCUUUAUCACUUUUUAAUCUAGUUGUAUUUUAAUAUAUGGCAGUUGUCACAAUAAAUAUGUUUGCACAAUAUAAAUUUGACUCUAAUUAAAUCCGAAGAAAAUGAAAUGGAAUUUACUUCAUGUUUACUAUGUUAAGUUUGUUAAAUUGUGUAUUAAAGUAUCCUGGUGAUUACAGUAUUAUCAUUUUGAAUAAGAGCCUAUCACAUUCAGUGUCUUCUGCCUCUGGGUGCAUCAGAAAAUUUAGAGAGCUUUAAACAGUAACUACUAUUAUUUAGAUGAUAUAUUUUGUGUCUCUUUUGACACAAAAUUUGACAUGUUAUAUUUAUGAACGAUAGUGUAAAUUUUGAUACAUGUUUAUGAUAUGUAAUAACAAAGCAGAGUAAGCAACUUAUAUGUUAUCUUAAGCAUAUCAUUUUUUUAAUGUGUGGAGAUUUUAAAACUUUUUCUUCUAGUUACUGAGAAAUAUACACAAGUAGGACUGGAGAGAUGGCUUAGCGGCUAAGAGCUCUUACUGUAUGAUCAUAAAGACUAAGGUUAAGAUCCCAGCACCCACAUAAUAAGCCAGGUAUCCUGCAAAUGCCUGCAGCUCCUGGAGCUCUGAUUCCCACUUCUGACUGCCAUACAUGCAAGGGUGUAUGUACCUGCAUACACACAUGCACGCACAUGCACACACACACACACAUGCACACACACACAUACUCACACACACAUACAUGCACAUAGGUGUGACACUUUUAAAUAGAUAUAUACAGGAUAUAAUUAGGUAGGAUUCCUAGUGUUCCAUGGCAUAGUGGGGUGACUAGUUAAUAAUCUCUUAGAUGAUACUGUAAACAUUCUGCAAUUUAAGCAAGAUUCCAUUCUUUACUUUUUGCCCCAUUCUCCCUUCCCCUCUAACUUCCUACCUGUCUUAUUUCUUUCUUUCAUGGGAGUUACACUAAGGACCUUGCUUGCUAAGCAAACACUUUACUGACAGCCCAUUUCUAAACUCAGCCUUUGUAAGUAUGAUCCUAAGUUGCUCUGUUGUUAAGUUUAUAGUUAAUGGAGUCUUAGGGCGAGGGUAGUGUUAGAUACAGAAGGACUCUGUGAGUGUUCCUGUAUCAGUUCCGGGUAAGGAGGAUAUCCAAAUGAUGCUUAAGGAAGGUGAUUCUAUUAAUAAUGUCGGACACCUUAGAUACUUAGAUAUAUGGCACAAUGGAUGCUGGAGUGCCAAGAGAUACAAUUUUGUAGCUUGAGCAGAAGAUAUUUCUUCAGUUAAAUUAUUUCUUAUAAUCAAAGUAAAACAUAGUUUUCUGUCACAGGAUGUAUUCAGUCUUCUUCCCUAGAACAAGACAAACACGCAAACAAGCAAUCCUCCAUCAUCACUUACAGACAACUGCAGCAAGAACAAUCUCCGGGCACCUGACUUACAUCAGGGCAGUAAGUCAGUUCCUCGAUCAUCCCGUGCUUGAAGAAGUUUCCUCAUAGCCACUCUGUUCCACACUGCAGUGAGUUUGCUGUUAGGCGUCUGUCAGGCUAAGAGUAUUUUCACUGUGAUGACAGCGAUCACACCUUUAACAACAGACAGCAGCGUGCAGAGUCUCUGUAUUUCAUCAGUCUGUUUACAUGAUUCUUGAUGGGUUGCAAAGAUGAUAUGUUUGCUUCAGCAGAUGAGAAGUGUACUUCUUAGAGAAGACUAAUGCCUCUCUCGUAGGCCUUUAGUUCGUAAAAGACACGUCAGAUUCGAAGUCAAAAAUAUCUAGCUUUUAAUGCUUCUCCAAUAAUUCCUGAAGGUAGCAGCCUGUCUUUUCUUGUAGAGAAGCUGUACUCAAGAGCUGCAGUAUAGAUUCAGUGCUUUUCUCAGUAUCUCUUGAACAGUGGAGGAUGUGUCAGUCUCCCCAACAUCUAUAAGACAUUGGCAUUAAUAAGGAAACAUUCUAAAUUAGUGUGUCUCCGGAUAAUUCAAUCACGAAUAAUUGGGUGGUCUUUGAGAAAUUGAAGAUCUACUGUCAAAAGGAAAUGUCUGCUCUCUGCAUGACUUAUCCAUCAAAAAGGAGGGUUUCAAUUCUAGUUCUCUGAAUGGACAGGGGGAGCCGUCAUGCUUGUCAUCGACUUUAGUCCUUUUGGGAGACAACGGUAACUUGUGCUGUUUGGGGAGCUUACAGGGCCUCACCGGCCACUAACUUGUAUCCCAUACCUGGCUCUGGGAUUCUCUCUCUCUCUCUCUCUCUCUCUCUCUCUCUGUCUCUGUCUCUGUCUCUGUCUCUGUCUCUCUCUCCCCUCCCCUCUCCUCCCUUCCCCUCUCCUCUCUUCUCCUCUCCUCUCCUUUCUUUUUUUGUGGUUUCCAGGGACUCUCUAUGUAACAAUCCUGAAUGUCCUGGACUCGCUUGGUAAGUCAGGCUGGCCUCAAACUCACAGAGAUCUGCCUGCCUCUGCCUUCUGAGUGCUGGAAUAACAGGUGUGCACCACCACACCCAGCUAGGAUUUUCGUUCAAUAACACAGAGCUUCUAGGAGGACCAUCAUCCACCCAUGGAGGGUACCUCCACUCAAGCUCUUUAAUGUAUUUUUAAAUAACCUAUAAAAUGGUAUAUUUACAUUGGGGUUUCAAUAGAUCCCUGGCUUUGGUUACCUAUUUCCCACCAUGUCCCUAUCUUCUUACUUGUGGUUUCCUUAGACCUUUCUACUUCCAGUGUUUCCUUCUUCACAUCACGUGUUCUCUUUCUCGCUUUCUCCUUCUAAUGGCCCCCUUCUAUCAUUCUAGCCUUUAUCAGCAUUCAGUGUUAAUGACACUACUUUAAAAAUUCAUAGCUAGGAUCAACAUAAAAGGGAGAACAUGUGGUACUUCUCUUGCUUGGCCUGGGAUACCUCCAGAUCUUUCUACAAAAUUCAUAAUUUCAUUAUUUUUUCCCACAUAAAAGUUCUGUUGGGCAUAUGUACCACAUCUUCAUUAGUCAUUACUCUGUUGAUGAACACCUUGCUAUGGUGAGUAGAGCCACAAUGAACAUGGAAGAGUAUUUCUGUUGUAGGACAGAGUCCUUCUGUGUAUACCCAGGCAUUCUAUAGCUCAGUCAUAUUGCAACCUUGUGUUAUCUUUAACUUCUUGAGUAACUCCCACACUACUUUCAACAGCAGUUACACCAGUUUAUAUCCAUUCCUAACACAAGCAAAUGCGGAAGGCUUUCUAGUCUGGUGUUUUCUUUAUAGUAGCCUGGAAUAGUGGAGAAUCUCAAUUUUUUUUUCAUUUUCAUUUUCCUGGUAGCCAAGUACACUUUAAAAAAUAGUUAUUUUCUAUCUCUAGUUCUUCUUUUGAGACCUCUCUAUUCAGUCCUUCAGUCCACUCACUAAGUGGGUCAUCUGUUUUCUUGUUUUUUUUUUAGUUAUAUGUAGAUUCUACAUAUUAAUCGUAUGUAAGAUGUACAGCUGGCAAAGACUUGGUCAACAAUUUCCACUACAGAACAAAAGAUUUUUAAUUUUAUGAGAUGCUACUUGUUCACCAUUGGCCUUUUUCAUGAAUGAGCGGAGUCUUGUUCAUAGAGUCCUUAUCUGUGUCUAUGUCUUUUUUAAAGGCUUAUUUUUAUUUAUGAGUACAUGGGAAUGUCUGUUUGAAGGUCUGCUAUGUUAAUUCAUGCAUCCUUGGAAGCCAGAAGAAUGCAUCAGAUCUCCUGGAGCUGGAAUUGCAGACAGUUGUAAACUACCUGAUGUGGGUAGGGAUUAAACUCAGAUCCUCUGGAAGAGCAGCAUUCUUAACCACUGUGUAAUCCUCCAGCCCUUGUACCUAUACCUUUAAGUGCACUCCACACUUUGUCUUCUAGUAGUUUCAGGACUAUCAUUUAAGGCUUUGGUCUAUUUGAAAUUGAUUUCUGUGCAGGAUGAGGGAUAAAGAUCAACUUACUUUUUUCUAAAUAUCGAUAUCCAGUUUCCUUAACAUCAUUUGUUGAUGAUACUACUUUCCAAUAUAUAUUUUUGAGUCCUUUGUCAAAAAUAAGGUGGCAGUAGUUGUAUGGACUUCUGUCUGGGUCCUCUAUUUUAUUCCAUUGAUCUAUCUGUUCUUGUACCAGUCCUAUGCUGAUUUUAUUAAAAUGGCCCUGUAGUAUAGCUUGAUACAGGGCAUUCUGACACCUCCAGUAGUGUUCUGAUUGACAGUUCAGUAUUGCUUUGGCUAUUUAAGGUCUUUUGGCUUCCUUAUGAAAUUUAAGUUUUUUUUAAAUUCUUUUAAAAUUAAGUUGGAAGUUUUAUUAGAAGUGCACUGAAUUUGUAGAUUGCCUUUAAUAAGAGGGAUUUUUCCAUCUUUAACUUCUUCAGUGUUUUAAAAUUUUUAUUUAAAUUGUUUCACUUCCUUGGUUGGGUUUAUUCCAAGGUAUUUCUGUCUUCUUUUGUUUUGUUGAGGCAUUUUUUAUGGGAAUAUUUUUAGGAUUUCUUUUUCAGCAUGGUUGUUGUUGAUUUUUGUGUUUUGUAAACUGCCACUUUGCUAAAAGUGUUGAUCAAUCCAAGAGUUUCCUGGCCAAAGUCUUUGUGGUUCAUUGUGUAUAGAACCAUGUCAAAUACAAUUAGAGAUAGAUAAACUUCUUGGUUUCCUAUCUGUAUUCUUCUCAUUGCCUUCUCUUAUCUUAUUGCUUAACUAUAACUAAGACUUUAAUCUUUAUAUUGAACAAGAUGUGGAGAGUGGGAAUCCUUUCUUUGUUACUGGUCUUAGUGGGAAUCUUGUGAAUUUUUCUUUUUACUUAGUAUGAUGUUGACCAUAAGUUUGUCACACAUAGUCUUUCUAUAUUAGGUUGAGAUUUGUUUCUCUUAAUCCCUAGUCUAUUCAGGGUUUUUAUUGUGAAAGGAUUUUAAAUUUUGUCAGUGACCUUUUCUCUCAAAGCCCUAUUGAAAUAAUGAUGUGUUCUUGAGUUUGGUUUGCAUAUUAUUUCUAUUCAGAAUUUCCAUAUCUAUGUUAAACAAGGAGAUUGGGCCUUUAAUUUUCUUUCUUUCUUUCUUUCAUUUUUAUUUCUUUUUGUUGUACAUUUGUCUUGUUUUGAUAUCAGGAUAAUAAAAGCAUCAUUAAAAACAACUGGAAGUAUUACAGAAUAAUUUGAGGAUUAUUGACAUUGAUUUUUCUUAGAAGUCUGCACUGACUCCAUCUGGACUUUGUUUAAUUCAGAGAUUUUUAGUUACUGCUCAGUCUUGCUUGUUACAGAUUUGUUGAAGUUGUUUAUUUCUUCUUCUUCUACAGUGUUUUAAAUUUUCAUCUUGGGAUAAAUGUGGGUAGUCAUGUGCUUUAGAAAUUCAUCUAUUUCUUUCAUAUUUUCUAGUUCACUGGAAUAUAAAUUGUAUGGUGUGUUCUAUACAUAUUCUGGAUUUCUCUGGUAUUUGUGAAAAUGUCUUCCUUUUCUGCUCUUUUAUUAUCUUGGGAAUUUUUUGUGAAUUUGGCUAAAGAUCUGUCAAUCUUGUUUAUCUUUUCAAACAACAACUUUUCUGUCUGUCUGGUUCUUGGUACUUUUUGGUUUUUUUUUAUUUCGUUGCUUAUAUUUUGAUUUUAGUUAUUCCUCCCUGACUACUGAUUGAUGUUUUGUUUGUUCUUGUUUUCCCAGUGCCUUGAAGCAUUACCUUGUUUAUUUGCCAUCUCACUGGAUUUUUUUUUCUUUUUUUUUUUUUUUUUUGGUUCUUUUUUUUCGGAGCUGGGGACCGAACCCAGGGCCUUGCGCUUCCUAGGUAAGCGCUCUACAACUGAGCUAAAUCCCCAGCCCCUCUCACUGGUUUUUUUUUAAACUGUGCACUUUAAGCUUUCCUCUGAGGACUACCUUCAUUGUAUCCCAUGAGCUAAGAUAUUCUGUGUCUUUGUCUAUCCAAUUCUGGAAAUAUUUGAUUUCACUUUUUUUUCUUCUAUGACCUAUCGGUAUAAAUUUGUAGUAUUAUUCUAUUGUGUUCAUAUAGAAUGCAUGAAAUUACUUGAGUUCUUGUUUGUUGAAACGUAUUUAUAUUAUAAUGUAUGAUCUACCUUGACGAAAUUUCCAUGAGCUCCUGAGAAAAAUGUAUAUCAUGUGUGUUGGGUGGAAUAAUCGGUAGGUGUCUGUCAGGUUCAUUUGAGCUAUGAUUUUUUUAAAUUUAAGUUGUUUAUUUUUGGCUUUAAUUGUGUACUUAGACAAUUUCAAGUAUUAUUAAUUUAAUUUUUAAAAAUACCAUCUUAAUUUUAUUUACAAAAACUUAUGUAUUAAAUGACUUAAAUUUCUGAAUAGUUCUAGUAAACAUUUUUGAUUUCUACUCAUACUAUUUUUUGUAAUUACAGAACUGCAGGAUCCUUAUUCUGGAAAUUUCACAUGUCAAACUUCCUGACCCCUUUCCAACACCUUCCAUGCCCUGCUUCCAUCUCAAAUUCAUAACUUCUUAUUCUGAAGUUUUUACCGUUCGUAUGUACACACAUAUGCAUGCAUACACAGAUACACACACACACACACACACACACACACACACACACACACACACACGCUUGCUUAGUUCCUUUAGUGUUGUACUUUUAUGUCUGGUCAUUUGUGACUGGAUAACCAAUUAGAGGGCUCCUUCCAAUAUUGAUUCUCUGUCUCAGUGGUUAUUAUUUGCCUAUGGUUCCUCAUCUAGGAGCAGGAACUUGUGGGAUUUCCUAUAACCAUAUUGACAUGAUAAUUGUUCUGCUCUUGUUUAGGCAAUCAUACUGUUUGUUUGGUUGUUUGUUUUUUCAAAAUAGGAUUUCUCCAUGUAGCCCUGGCUGUUCUGGGACUUAGUCUGUAGACCAGAUCUUUAACUCUGGGGUCUGCCUGCUUCUUCCUCCCAAGUGCUGUGAAGAAAGGCUUGUGCCACCAUGCCUGGCUUGACAACCGUAUUACUGAGAGGUCACAGGUGUAGGUCUCCUGUCAUAUAUAGAAAACACUAUCUUAGAGUAGAUUUCCAUGUCCUCUCAUUCUCACAAUCUCUCCCCUCCUGUUUCCACAGUGUUCCCUGAGCCAUAGGUGUACAGUUUGUGCUGUAGGUAUAUCAGGUGGGACUGGACACGCUAAAGUCUGUUGUUCUUUCCAUUUUGAACAGUUGUAGCUUUCUGCAAUAAUCUCCAUCUGCUGCAUAAUGAAGGCUCUUUGUUGAGGGAUGAGAGAUACACACGCUGGUGAAUAUAGGCACAGGAAUGAAAUUGGAAACUAUCUUGGUUUAGGAAAGUGGCCUAAGGAGGUUCACCUCUAGCAUCCAUGGCCUCAUCAGCCACGGGUAGUUAGCUAGAUUUACAGUACCAAGCAUGCAUUUUCUGCUAGAGCAGGCUAUAAGUUCAAUUAGAUGGCUAUUGAUUACCUCCAAUAUACAAGUGCCAGUAUUGCACCUCUGGAAAUACUUUGCCAUGGUGAUCAUCGUGGUGGUUGAUAGGUGUUACACACAUGGAUAGGACUGCUGAUUCCUUUCUUCCCUUCCCAGCUUUCAUAGCACCUUCUGACACUCAGAUAUAAACUACUCCUCAGGGAGGAGACUUCUAAAUCAAGUCUAGCUCAAUUCCUUCAGCUCAUGUAUGUGGUGUUUUCAGUAGUAGGGGCUUACAUUCAAUAACUGGAAAGCAACCAAGGGUAGCAGCAAUAGAUUGUAAUGCUUGAGAGUCUCUUGGAUUAUCAUGAUUGACAACUUGAAGGAUGGUUUCACAUCCUAACACUAGGGCUUUUGUUAUAUAAUCUGUGUCUCUUUGAGAAACAUUAUUAUGACGUGUCAUAACUUCAUGUGUGUGUAUGCAUAUAUAUUUACAUGUAUUUUAUAUAAUUUUAAUGUUAUUUAAUCCCAGUGCUUUUCUGUUUAUCUUUGUUCAAUAGAUCUGCCUCUGGAAACAGGUGUUAAAGUCACAAACUUUUAUUUUGUUGGAAUUAAUCCAUGACUUUAAACGUAGGAAUACUUGUUUAAUCAAAUUGGGUGAGCCUUGUAUUUAAUCUGCAUAGAUUUAGGACUCUGAAUUUUUUCUUCAUGGAUUGUUCCUUUGAUCAUGAAGUGACUCCCACCCUUUAACCUUUAAAGACUAGAUUUGAAGUUUUUAAAAUUGGUAUUAGAAUAGCAAUCCCUGCGUAUUUGUUGUGGUUGUUGUUGUUCCCAUUUGGUUGGAAGACCCCUUUUCCAUCCUUUCCCCUAAGAAAGCAUUUAUUUCGUUCCCUAGAGGCAGUUUAAUUAAACAUCUUGUUUUGUUCUUUCAGAUUUAUUUUAUUUUAAAUUAUUUGCAUGCUUGUGUCUCUGUGUGGGUGUGUACAUGUGAGUGAGGUGUCUACGGAGUCCAUAAUAAGACAUCACAGAUCCCCUGGAUUUGAAGUUAGAGAGAACCCUGAGUCACUUGACGUGGGUGCUUAGAAUUGAUCUUAGGUGCUCUUCCUUCCUCCCUCCCUCCCUCCCUCCCUCCUUUCUUUCUCUCUUUCUUUCUUUCUUUCUUUCUUUCUUUCUUUCUUUCUUUCUUUCUUUCAAAUCUAGUCUGUUAGUCAUAUCAUUUUAUAAGGUAAUUGAUACUAUUAGUUGACUUAUUAUUACAAGGUCUGUAUUGAUUGAUCCCUCUCUUUGUUGACAUGUAGUUUGUGGGUGUUUUCUUAUUCGUAUUUUGUCUAAUAACUAUUUUAGUCUUGUUUAUUAUUUUCCCUGUGGCCUGUGAGUCUAUUAUCUUUUUCUUCAGUCCAAAAUAUUCUUUUGAGUGUGGACUGCAAUGUCAACUUGGUUGUCGGUACUUUCCUGACUUCGGCUAUGGUAGUUUUUCUGACUAUAUUGGGUUGAUUUUUGACAUCGUUAUCUUUCAGAAUCUGAAAUACACUUUUCCAAGCCCUUCUGGUUUCUAGGGUUUCCAUUGAGAAGCGGCAGUUAUUCUGAUGGACUUACUUUUAUAUGUGACUUGUCCCUUCUCUCUCAUAUAUUUCAAUAUAUUUUCUUUGAUCUAUUUAUUUAGUGUUUCAACUAUGAAGUGAUAAGAGGGUUUCUUUCUGAUCUUCUCUGUUUGGAGUUCCUGUGAGCCACUUGUGUUUGGAUGGGCAUAUCUUCUAGAUUUGGGGAAUUCUCCUCUGUGGUUUUAUUGAAAGCAUUUCUAUUCCCUUGGCACAAUUUUGUUUUGUUUUUCUUCUAUGACUAUACUUUUAAAUGCUUUGCCUCUUGUGCUAUUCUAAAUAUGAUAUAUGUUUUUUCACAAACUUUUAGAAACUUAUCAAUUACCUUACCAUGUAAUGCAAUUCGUCUUCAAGCUCUGAGAUACUGUUCUCCAUACAAUCCAUUGUAUUUAUGAGGAUUUAUAUAAAACUUCUUUGAUACAUUAUAUAUUUCAUUGUAACCAUUUCAAUUUGUUUUUCUUUAGAAUUUCUAUCUCUCUUUUUAUAGAUUUUGUGAAAUUAUUUAUUUUCUAAAAUAUUUUCUUAAAAUAUUUGUUUUUAUUGGAUAUUUUAUUUAUUUACAUUUCAGAUGUUACCCCCUUUCCCAGUUUCCCCUCCUAAAACCCCCUAUCCCAUCCCCCCUCCCCUUGCUUCAAUGAGGGUGCUCUACACCCACCCACCCACUCCCACCUCAGUGCUCUGGCAUCCCUCUACAACGGGGCAUCGAGUCUUCACCGGACCAAGAGUCUCUCCUCUUAUUGAUGUCAGACGAUGCCAUUCUCUGCUACAUAUGCAGCUGGAGUCAUGGAUCACUCCAUGUGUACUCUUUGGUUGGUGGUUUAGUCUCUGGGAACUCUGGGGGCGUCGUCUGGUUGGUUGAUAUUAUUGUUCUACCUAUGGGGUUGCAAACCCCUUCAGCUCCUUCAGUCCUUUCUCUAACUUCUCCACUGGGGUCCCCAUGCUCAGUCCAGUUGGCUGCAAACAUCCAUCUCUGUAUUUGUCAGGCUCUGGCAGAGCCUCUCAGGAGACAGCUUUAUCAGGCUCCUGUCAGCAAGUACUUAGUGUCUGGGUUUGGUGGUUGCAUAUGGGCUGGAUCCCCAGGUGGAGCAGUCUCUGGAUGGCCUUUCCUUCAGUCUCUGCUCCACACUUUGUCCCCACUCUUCUCAUAUCACAAAUUGACUUCUUUUAUCUGGAUGUUUAUUUUAUUACUUUGGAAUGUAUUUCUGCAUUUUUGAAAUAGUCCAACAUAAUCAUAAACAUAUAUUUGAAUUGUGUGUCUAGGAUUUUGUCUGUUGGGUAAUUGGAAGUUAUUAUUAUGGGAUUAGUUAAUUUUGGUCGAGACAGGUUAUGAUUGUAUUAUGCUUCUGACAUGUGCUUGUUUGUGUGUAUAUUUGUGUGUGUGUGUGUGUGUGUGUGUGUGCAUGAGAGAGAGAGAGAGAGAGAGAGAGAGAGAGAGAGAGAGAGAGAAGGAGAGAGACUUGUGAUUAGAUCAUUGGUUAAGUUUAUUGUACUUUAAAUCAGGUUACUUUUUGACUUUUGGUGGCAGCAUUUGCAGUGUAGCACUAAGUUAUAGUAUGGCCUGUGCAAUGUUUUCAUCCUUUAGACAGGUCAGUGUAUUAGGCUCUGUCUCUACACUUGCCACUGCAAGUCGAAUAACUGUCCAGCUAUACAGCCUACUCUGGAAUUACAGUACUAGUUGGCUACAGAAGUGUCAUUCCUUAAGUAGUAAUUAUUUGGAGGAAAAAAGGGGCACCGGCAGUGCUGUGUGCACUACUAUAAAUAAGUGAAUAACAUCUCUUAAACCUAUGAAUAUAAAUUCCUCUCAAUUAAGAUUUAAAGGAAAUUUUAAAAAAUACUAUUUUCAUAUUUCCCUGAAAAGAAAAAGUAGAAGUAUUUCUCUACAUUAGUAGUUUUAAAAUUAUUGGUUUUAGUGCCCAAUGCACUUUUGAAUUGGGGCAGGGAAGGCAAGUUUUAAGUGUAUUUUAUAAUGACAUUUAUAGCUUGGAAAUAUUCAAAAUGUUCACCAGUUAGUUUAAAAUUACAUUACUUUGUACCAAAAAUGACUGUUAGGAUGGCCAGCAAAAGGCCCGUACAUGAGUAUCAUAAUCAUAACAGCCACAUUGCAUAGUAGCCAAGGAUCUAUGAGCUUCUGAAAGGAUAAAUAAAACCAUUUGUUUCUGUAUCAUGAAAUGUUCCGUUAAAAUGAAUGCUGUGCUCUUCCAUAGCGUGAUGCUAAAUAAAAGAAGUCAGACACAAAAGCCCACAUAUCAUUUGCUUAGAUAAGCAGAAUGUCCAGAUAGUAAGAGAGAAGUAAAUCACUGCCAGAGUCUGGGAAGGGAGAGAAGUAGGAAAUGCUAUGAAUGGAUACAUAGUUUCUAUGUUAAAUUAGAUAAUGGUAAUGUAUGAUUUUGUGAAUAUAUUUAACAUCAUUAGAUUGUUUUCUUUAUAAUGGUGAACUUUAUAGUAUGCCAGUUUUAAGUCAAUAAGCAUAUAGGGGUUUUGCUUUUAAGCAUAAAUUAUGUUUUUAUUAAAUAUUACUGUAUUUCUAAAUUUAAAAAAAUCAGAGGUGUAUUGCCUACACUUUAUUUUGCAAGUCUAUUUUAUAUUAACUGAAAACAAUCAGAUUCUUUUGCUAGUUUCAGCAAUAAAUAUAUUGUGUUUAUGCAAUUUUGGUUGAUCUAUAAAAACAUCAGACCUCAUAAAGUAAUAUAGUCAGAAAAUAGAGGAGGAUUAUAAUGAGUUACUCAUACAAUUGUGGGACAUUUUCUCUGACGUAUUAGUAUUUUGCAUGUGGUGGUUCUUAAGUGAAGUUGACAUUUAUGCCCUCACAUCUCUAAGUGACUUUGAUUUAGCUACGACUGCUGAUAGGCUGAACUGGACAGGGAUGACAGAUCACUCACUCUCAGUGACUGACAGCAGAAAGAAGUAGAUUCUCAGCAGGCUAGAGGGCCUUAAUUUUCUUUGGAGGACCUCUCCAUGCGCCCUUACUUUCUUAUAGGAUGCUAGAUAGAUUCCAGAAAGUUUUCCAGUAACAAGGCGAAAUCUGUAGAUGUUGUAAGGCCUUUCAGAAGUUAGUGUUAAUUUCCCCACAUUCUGUUGAACAGAACUGUAGCAUUUGCCAAGAUUUGUGGGCAGAACAAAUAAACUCCACGUUUUAAAACUGAGAAAUUGUCAAGUCAUAUGCAGCUAUGCUCCACUGUAAACCUCCUCUGACAUUUCAAAUGCUAUGAGCAUGUGGGCGCUUGGUAAAUAUUAUGAUUAGAUGUUGUUUUUAUACUGUUGCAACUUAUGCUUUGAAAUUAAAAGCAUCUCUAAUUGUACUUUGUUUGACUUAUUUAAAGUUUAUUGCUAAACAGAUAAAUGUAAUGAGAAUGGAGUGUUUUACAGCAUUUUAUUAUCCACCCAUCCCCUUUAAUUUGUGACAUUAUGGUUUACUUUGUUGUUUAUAUUUAAUUACCUAAGAACAAUCUCUUUCAAUGUAAUAAUAAAGAGUACAAUAUAAAUAGAAUAUUGAGUGUGUGUCUCAAUGUCGGUGUGUUGUGCUUAGAAUAAACAUCUCCAGUUCCCGCAGUGUUGAUUCUGCAAGAGAGACUUGGCUUUGCUUUGAAAGGUUAUCUAUCAGUAAUAGUUACAAGAAGAUACACCAGGGCUUAAUCCACGUAGCAACUUAAUUAUAACCCUUGGAAGACAUUAAAGUUACAAUAAAUUAAAGAAAUUGUAUUUCAUAAUUUGAAGACCACAAAAGGGUGAGAAAAAAAAUCUUUCAAACCAGCUUACGAUCUUCUUAUUGCUUUUCAUACACCCUGAAUUUAAAAUGCCUAUGAAAUGCCUUCCUGUUUCCUGUAAGGGUCUCUGGAAGAGGUGAUAUUGUAUGAGGGCCCAGGUGAGAAAUUCUUGUUAUUAAGCAUUUCUGUAAUUGGGAGAUUGUGAUGGUUAUCAAAGCAUACUAAAAGCACCAUUCUUUCAGCUGCCCUUACAAGUUGCCUCUGGAAAUCUGCUUUGAAAUUGCUUUCUGAAAGGCCUAUUCAGGGUGCAUUGAAAAUUAAGGUUUUUCUCCGUAGCAAAAUGGCAGUGUGUCUGCUAGUGGAUGUGUUAGGUUAGAUGUACCUGCUGUUACUGAUCAGGAUAAGUAAUGCACCGUGCUUCUUCCUGUAAGCAAAAUCAGGAAACUAAAACUUGAUUGACAGACUGUCAUAUUGAGAAUCUUAAAGCUACAUUUAUUUAAAAUUAUUUGGUGGAAUGACAUUGUAUAACUUGGAUUCUAUUGUUGAAAACCUCGCUGCAGCACUGCUGUCAGCUCACAGCACCACAACAUAAUUGGUCUUUGAGACAGCAAAUUGCCUUACGCUAGGGUAAUGAGUGUCCCUCAGGAACCCUCUGGCUAUUUUAGUCACAUGUGACAACCUGGGAUGUAGACUUCCAGCAUUCUUCAGAAGAUGCUACAGAAUGAUAAGGCAAUAUUUCGGCUAACCGUUUGCUGGCAACUAAUUAUUCAUUGUGUAAGUUUACAGAUUAGAUGCGAGGAGAGCCCAUGCUCUAUGGAGUGUAAAAAGAGCAGCCCUGGUGACUCACAGGCUCUUUGAAGAUUGCGUAAUCCUUCCAGAAAGCCAGGAGCAGUCCCCAGGUGGUUCUUUGGUUCUCUGAGUGCCCAUAUUUCCUUCCAUUGUAUUUUUGUGAGCUAUAUAGUUGGGCCUUUACUAGUUAGUUUUGGUUGCCAGUCUCUUGGGAGAGUUCAUAGUUCAGUGAAAGUGCUCUCUGUAAGUUUUCUUGUAUGUAAAUAAUUUCAUGAGGCUUACAUGGGUUUGAGGAAGGUCACCUCCACACAGAAGACAGGCGGCUCACUCUGUAUCUGGUAUUCCACUCAUUCCCCAGUACCACACUUUUAAGUAACACUUAAAAGACCCUUUAUCCUCCCUUUGCCAAUUUUCAGUUCUCCGCUCAUGCCAAAACUAACUUCUGUUUAUCUCCUGCUUUAUAUUCCUAGAGCAACUAGACUUAAUUAGUUUGUAAUUGGGCAUUAGCCAUUCCGUUCUUUUUUUUACACAUUCCAUCAUUUAUUGAUUCUCCUAUUCAAUAAGCAUGUAUGCUUCUUGCAUAAUUCUUAAUGCAAGAUCUUUAUUCCCAUGAUGAAGAUGAGAAUUAUAUUCAAUUUUGACCAUCUCGGUGAGGCACAUAAAGAAAAAAUAAUCAUAGCACAAAGCGCCACAUACAGCGUAGCACCCCUGGAGAUCACUACUGUGAUUUCCUCAAAUGAACUCUAUUCCAUAGAAAGAUUAUUUUCAAUGUGUUUGUUGAAUGAAGAUGUGGGAAAUAGGGAUCCAGCUUGGCGGGUGGACAUAGUUUUGAACGUGCAAAAAAUGAUGCCGAAUUGCUUUUGUGUUAAAAGGAAGUAACUUAGGAAAACACAAGGGUAAUUGAGUUUAGAGGAUUUCAACAGAGUUCAUUCUAAGAUUAAGAAGCAAUAGAAAAAAUUUUAUUUGAUUAAAAUCAUGCCAGCAUAUUCAGAUACAGAAAACUGCCUUGAUGUGUCUGUUGUCAUGAUGUUUGUUCUGAUUUUCCUUUGGCUACUGAGGUCCAUCUGAGUUGUUAUUCCACUAUAUUCCAAUUUUUUUCACAAUAGUACAUAGAAAUUAUCAUAACAAACUCUUGAUCAUAUUUCACCAGAUAAGCUUGUUUAUGAAUUGAUUAUAAAACCCCGGUGAAAAUUCAAAUUCAUAGGAGUAAUCGAAAAUGCACAUUGAACAAAAAUGCAAAUUACACGAGGUCUGACACUUGGAGCUUCAUAAUAACCAGUAUGCUCCACCUUUUCUCUACUGUACUAUGGACAUAUGAUCUGCCUCUGAGGAAAACAUUUUAUUAAAAGAUCCAGUGUACUGGGUUGUAGUUCUUAUUUAAGUGUGUAUGGUGUAUUGAGCUCUAUCUCCAGUACCACCCACACAAAUAUAUUCCCGUGUCUCAUACCUGUCACGUUCAAGUUAACACAUAUCAUUACCUCAGAAUUUCAUCUACCAGAAAGACUAACCUGUGAUUGGUUAGAUGUCUUCUAGAGUGGUGGCAGAGAAUGCCAGGACUCUAAUGUACUUGCUCCCUAUUUGUAAAGCCCUCUGGUUUUGUAUAAAGCUAGGUUUACUCUGUGAAGGAAUUUGCCCUUCACUAAUGUUAGAAAUAAAGACAAAUUCUGAAAGAAGCCACCCUCCAAACCAACCAACCAACCAAUCAACCAACCAACCAAACAACCAACCAACCAAACCAACCAACCAAACCAACCAAACAACCAAACAAACAACCAAACAACCAAACCAACCAAACGAACCAACCAACCAACCAACCAAACAACCAACCAAACAACCAAACAACCAAACAAACAAACAACCAAACCAACCAACCAACCAAUCAACCAAACAAACAAACAAACAACCAAACAACCAAUCAACCAACCAACCAAACAAACAAACAUAAACAAAUAAACAGGAUAACCACAAAGCAUCCCUUUUGUUUACAGUUGGAGUUUUGUACAUGAGAAUACUUGAGAGUGUUUCCUUUUCCAUUCAUCAGCAUCUUGACAAUAAGCCCACCAUGUUUGUGAAUAGGAGUUUGAACAAAGGAAAAAAAAACCCUCAAAGAAUGUAAAGUCAGUGGUGACAUUGCAAUUAUCCUCCUGUCUUCCAGCAGUUUGAGUCAUCUGAUUUCUUGGAUAAAUCUUCCUUUUUUGUAAUACUUCUGUGCUUUAGAGUUUCAUUAUUUUGAAGUGUUUUUUCUCUAUUUAAAGUAACCUGUUUUGUAUUAUUUUUAAUAUAAAAAUAAACAUAAGCAAAACCCACCAUAGGUCUGUGGUUUAAUAGCUAUCUUCCUCAAAUUCUUUCACAGAUCCUCGGGCUGCUAUAAGCCCAGAAUGAAAUCCAUUAUUAGAAUGCUCCCUGUGCCAGGUUUUUAUUUCUAAUAUGUUGUUUAUUUUUUAAUCAUCUUUUGAAUUAUUGACUAUUUUAUGGUGUCUUAUAACAGCAAUUUCUAUUUGUUUUAUGUACUUUGUAUGGCAGAUUUCAUUUUCUGCCUCACUCCAUUAUAUGUAAUGGCUUAGCUUUGAAGUUUUUGCUUGAUAUAAGGGGGUGUUAAUUUGCUUUAACACGUUAUUGUCUAAAAUAGUUCAGGUUCUGUAAAAGCUUUAUCUUGAAACACUCUGAAAGGUACUUUCUUUUUUAUUCUCGUGUUCAUAAAAGAUGCUUGUAAUUCCCCCCUUGUAUUCUUGACGCAUGCUGAGAUAUUAAAGGGCUGCUGGCUGGCUCUGCUAGAUAAUGUUGAAAUGCAUAGACUUAGAUUUCAAAGCAAUUGUUACAUUUCCCUGUGAGUCUUCUUCCAAUAUUUUAUUACCACUCUGGUUCUUUUAAACAGAGCUUUCUAGCACUUGUGUUGUUUCUAAUUGUCUCCUAAUUGUUUCUUUUUUUCCCCCCACACUUUAACUCCCAAGAACAACCUAUCUAUUUCCUCUGGACUUUGCUGCAAUUUUUAACCGAUGCCCUAGAGUACUGUGUCCUUUCUUAUUCUUGCUAGUUCUUCUCCAGUGAGUCCUCACCAGAAGGCUGCUGUAUUCUUGAGAGAGGUAUUCUUAGAAUGGAGUGCCGAGUGGAUGGGCAGGAGUCAAGAGUGCAGUGACAGCAGUAAUUCCACUCCAAUUAGAUCUUAAAAUGGAUUGCUUCAUAGGCUAGCAGGGAUGGGUGUCCCAUGGGAUUUUGUUUCUCAGUACUAAGUUGCUAGAGGAGGUGAUAUAGAACAGGAAAAAUCCAAGAAUAGGAAAAUUGAGAUGAUUUUGGUGGUCCUUAAGAUGGUGACCAUGUAAAUAUUAAUCUCUUUUUGCUGAACAUCAUACUUCAUUUGCAAAGUUAAGACUUUUAUGCAAUACUCACCUUGAAUAUGUAUCAGUUGAUUUCAUUGUUAAUAUAUUGGCUUCCUUUUUCUUCAAAUGACCACAAGGAAAGUGUCAUCUUACAAUACAUCUUUAUUUUCUUUCUUUCUGUGAUUCGAAAGUCUUAACUGAGUGUCUCACAGGCUAUGGUCAAGGUCCCAGCCACGGCUAUAGAUUUUCCUCUGGAGGCAGAACUUGGUGAUGAUGUGCUGCUGUCUUGUUUCUGUUGCUUUGUUUUGUUCCUCUUGAUGGAACUACUCAGUUACUUGUGAUUGGUCGACUGAGAUUGCUGACUGACCACUCUCCACAGCUGUUCUUGGUCUUAAGGCUGCCUCAGCUUCUUGCCACACGCAUUUUCCAAUAUGGCUGCAUGCUUCCUCCAGGCCAUCACUGGGCAACAGAAAGACUCCUGAAACCCAGAUCCUACAAGUUUACAUAAUGAACACAUGUUUUUCCUGCUUUAUAAUUAUCUACGUCCUAUCAUCUUUCCAAUGCUCUGUUUCUUAGAAGCAAAUACCUGAUGAUUCCUAUGCCCAACAGGAAAGGAACCUGUAAGAAAUGGAGGUAGGAAUCAGGUGAGGGAGUCUUUGAAAGGAUUUCUCUAUGGGCCAGUAUUGCUAUUUGUCCUCCAAUACCUCUUUUCCCCUUUCAACCCAAAAGUAGAUUACAUAGAUCACCAGAAAUAAAAACUUUAUUACUCAGCUUCUCUUCUAGGUUUGACUGUGCAGUGAAGCAAGGAGGCAAGUAAAGAGACCCAGACAGCUGGGGUUGCAGGCUUUCCAACGUCCUCCUCACUUCUUCAGUGUGAGAGGAAAAGAAAGCUUAUAUUAAACUUUAAAACAUCAUUUGAACAUGAAUAUGUUUUUCAUUAAACUUGUCCCCACCCCCUAUCUACCAGAAAACCGUUUUUGUCCCUCUCCUUUCCAUUGGUUUCUUUUGUUCUCCACACAAUCUCACUUCUGCUUUAAUGCUAUAUAUGACUUAAUGUGGCUUUAUAAAAUCUAGAAACCACAAUGAGAGAAAACACAGAUUUGUUUUUCUGAAAGUGGUUUAAUUUGCUUAAUACAAUCAUCCCCAAUUGCCUCCAUUUUCCUGAAAGCAAUGUAACUGUAUUCUUCUUUGCUGUUAGCAUAUUUCAUUGUAUGCACAUACCACAUUUUCUUUGUCCAUUUGUCUGUUGAUAGCCAAUGAGGUUCAUUAUGCAAUAAACAUAGAUACACAAGUAUCUUUCCAAUGUGUUGACUAGAAGUCCUUUGAGUGACUGCUGAGUAGUAUAGCUGUGUCAUAUAGUAGGUCUCUUCUCAAGUUUUAAAGAAAUCUCCUCACCAAAUUCCAUAAAGGUUGGAGUAACUGAUGGUGCCAUCAGGAGUGUAUGACACCACGAGUGUGUACCAGACACUUUCUUGAGUUCCUCAAUUGAUGUCCAGAUCUAUGAAAGUGUUGUCUUGUCCUGAAUAUAUCACUUGACCAGGAGCCAUCAAGCUGUGAGGCAAGAGCUGGCCUCUUCAGCUCCCUGUUUCCAUCAGGCUAAGGUCUCUUUACAACCUUGUGGGCACAAACAGUGUUUCUUACCAUUUUUCAUUGGAAGAGGUUCUUAAGGAAUUCGAAGUGACCUCUAAGUGCAACUUAAAUAUAACUAGAACAUCCUGUUGUGUGACUCAAGGCUGUCAAGUAUGGCGUUGGCCAGUCUAAUAACAGUGAAUUAGAAGCUUGCUGAGAAAUUGUUCUUGUUUAUAACAAUAAUUCUUUGAAAUCUAUGUUUUCCAUUUUAGUUUUUUAAAAAUUUUUAUUUAAUUUCCUUUUUACACUACAGGUUUUAUCAUCCUCCCAAUACAUCCUCUGAGUGUUCCACAUUCCAUACUGUUCCCCUUGUCUCCAUGAGAAUGCCCCACCCCACAACCCCCUCCCCUGCCAGACCUCACCACUCUUUAGGGUGUCCAGUGUCUUGAGGCUUAGGUGCACUUUUCUGACUGAACCCAGACGGGAUAAUCCUCUGCUGUAUAUGUGUUGGGGGCCAUAUGUGAUAUGAGUAUCAGCUGGUGUAUGCUGCCUAGUUGGUGGUCUAGUAUCUGAGAGAGCCUAGGGGUUCAGGUUAAUUGGGAAUGCUGGUCCUCCUACAGGGUUUCCCCUCCUCCUCAGCUUUUCCCUAAUUCAACCACAGGGGUCACCAACUUCUGUCCAUUGAUUGGGUGUGAAUAUCUGCAUCUGAUUCUUUCCACUGCUUGUUAAGUCUUUCGGAGGACAGUCAUGGUAGGACCCUUUUUGUGUGCACUCCGUAGCCUAUGUAAUAGUGUCAGGUCUUGGGGCCUCCCCAUGAGCUGGAUCACACUUUGGGCCUGUUGCUGGACCUCCUUUUCCUCAGGCUCUUCUCCAUUUUUGUCCCUGCAGUUCUUUUAGACAGGAACAAUUAUGGGACAGAGUUUUUGACUAUGAAAUGGCAACCUCAUCCCUCACUUGAUGCCCUGUCUUUCUGCUGGAGAUGGGCUCUACAAGUUCCCUCUCCCCACUGUAAGGCAUUUUAUCUAAGGUCCCUCCCUUUGAGUCCUGAGAGUCUCUCUCUUCCCUGGUCUCUGGUACAUUUGCAGGGCCCUCCAUCUUCUGCCUCCCAAGGUUGCCUGUUUUCAUUCUUUUUGCUGACCUUAGGGCUUCAGUUCUUUUCUGCCAACCAAUAUCUGACCAUGUUCCUCUCUUCCCCUUCCUGUCCUGUAUCCCAUCCAGGACCCUCCCUCCCCACUCUGGUGAUUGAUUUCUUCUCACCCCCAAGUGGGAUUGAGCCAUUCUCACUUGGACCCUUCUGCUUGUUAAACUUUUUGAGUUCUGGGGACUGCAUCCUGGGUAUUCUAUACUUUUUUUGGCUAAUAUCCACUUAUUAGUGAGUGGAAUCACUAAUACCAUGUGUGACAUUUUGUGUCUGAGUAACCUCACUUAAUAUGAUAUUUUCUACUUCCAUCCAUUUGCCUGCAAAACUCAUGAUGCCCUUGUUCUUAAUAGCUUAAUAGUAUUCCAUUGUGUAAAUGAACCACAUUUUCUGUUUCCAUUCUUCUGUCUUGGGACAUUUGGGUUGUUUCCAGCUUCUGGCUAUCAAAAAUAAGGCUGGUAUGAACAUAGUGGAACACAUGCCCCUGUGGCCUGGUGGGACAGCUUUUGGGUAUAUGCCCAAGAGUGGUAUAGCUGGAUAUUCAGGUACAUCUACAUCCAAUUUUCUGAGGAACCUCCAGAUUGAUUUCCAGAGUGGUUGUAUCAGUUUGCAAUUCCACCAGCAAGGGACCAGUAUUACUCUUUCUCCAAAUCCUGACCAGCAUGUGUUGUCACCUGAGGUUUUGAUCUUAGUCAUUCUGAUGGGUGUAAGGUGGAAUCUAAAGGUUAUUUUGAUUUGCCUUUCCCUGAAUCUGUAAGGACUUUGAGCAUUUCUUUCUUUCUUUUUGUUGGAUUUUUUUUAUUUUAUAUUUUCAAAUGUUAUUCCCUUUCUCAGUUUCCUGUCCAUAAGCCCCUGAUCCCAUUCACCUCCCCAUUCUUUUAUGAGGGUAUUCCCCCUCCCAACCACCCCCUUCUUGAAUCCCCACCCUGACAUUCCCCUACACUGGGGGGGGGUUCAGUCUUGGCAGGACCAAGGGUUUCUCCUCCUAUUGUUGCCUAACAAGGUCAUCCUCCGCUGGAGGAUGCAUAUGCAGCUCCAGCCAUGGGUCUGUCCAUGUGUACUCUGAUGGUGGCUUAGUUCCUGGGAGCUCAGGUUGGUUGGUAUUGUUGUUCUUAUAGGGUUGCAGGCCCCUUCAGAUCCUUCAAUCUUUUCUCUAACUCCUUCAAUGAGGACCCCCAUUCUCAGUUUAAUGGUUGGCUACUAGCAUUUGCCUUUAUAUUUGUCAUGCUCUGGCUAAGCCUCCCAGGAGAUAGCUAUAUCAGGCUCCUGUCAGCAUGCACUUCUUGGCUUCAUCGAUAUUGUCUAGGUUUGAUGGCUUUAUAUAUAUAUGGGCUGGAUCCCCAGGUGGGGCAGGCUCUGAAUCGCUAUUCCUUUAGUCUCUGCUCCAAACUUUGUCUGCAUAUCUCCUUCUAUGAAUAUCUUGUUCCCCCUUUUAAGAAGUACUGAAGCAUCCACACUUUGGUCAUCCUUCUUCUUAAACUUAAUGUGGUCUGUGGAUUGUAUCUUACGUAAUUCGAGCUUUUGGGCUAAUAUCCACCUAUCAGUGAGUGCAUACAUGUGUAUUUUUUUUUUUUGUGAUUGGGUUAGCUCACUCAGGAUGACAUUUUCUAGUUCCAUCCAUUUGCCUACGAAUUUCAUAAAGUCAUUGUUUUUGAUAUCUGGGUAAUAUUCCAUUGUGUAGAUGUAUCACAUUUUCUGUGUACAUUCCUCUUUUGAAGGGCAUCUGGGUUCUUUCCAGCUUCUGGCUAUUAUAAAUAAGGCUGUUAUGAACAUAGUGGAGCACGUGUCUUUUUUAUAUGUUGGGGCAUCUUUUGGGUAUAUGCCCAGGAGUAGCUGGGUCUUCAGGCAGUUCAAUGUCCAAUUAUCUGAGGAACCUCCAGACUGAUUUCCAGAAUGGUUGUAACCAACUUGCAAUCCCACCAACAAUGGAGGAGUGUUCCUCUUUCUCCACAUCCCCGCCAGCAUCUGCUGUCAUCUGAGUUAUUGAUCUUAGCCAUUCUGACUGGUGUGAGGUGAAAUCUCAGGGUUGUUUACAUUUUCAUUUCUCUGAUGACUAAGGAUGUUGAAUAUUUCUUUAGGUACUUCUCAACCAUUCGAUAUUCCUCAGCUGAGAAUUCUUUGUUUAGCUCUGUAUCCAUUUUUUAAUAGAGAUUUUUGGCUUUCUGGAGUCUACCUUCUUGAGUUCUUUAUAUAUUUUGGAUAUUAGCCCUCUAUAGUAUGUAGGAUUGGUAAAGAUCUUUUCCCAAUCUGUUGGUUGCCAUUUUGUGCUAAUGACACUGCCUUUGCCUUACAGAAGGUUUGCAGUUUUAUGAGAUCCCAUUUGUUGAUUCUUGAUCUUAGAGCAUAAGCCAUUGCUGUUCUAUUCAGGAAAUUUUCCCCAGUGCCCAUGAGUUCAAGGCUCUUCCCCACUUUUUCUUCUAUUAGUUUGAGUGUAUCUGGUUUGAUGUGGAGGUCCUUGAUCCACUUGGACUUAAGUUUUGUACAGGGAAAUAAUAAUGAAUCAAUUUGCAUUCUUCCACAAGUUGACCUCCAGUUGAAUCAGCACCAUUUGUUGAAAAUGCUAUCUUCUUUCCACUUGAUGGUUUUAGCUCCUUUGUCAAAGAUCAAGUGACCCUAGGUGUGUGGGUUCUUUCUGGGUCUUCAAUUCUAUUCCAUUAAUCUACCUGCCUGUCUCUGUACCAAUACCAUACAGUUUUUUUCACUAUUGCUUUGUAUUACUGCUUGAGGUCAGGGAUAGUGAUUCCCCCAGAAGUUCUUUUAUUGUUGAGUAUAGUUUUCACUAUCCUGGGUUUUUUUAUUCCAUAUGAAUUUUCAAAUUGCUCUUUCUAACUCUGAAAAAUUGAGUUGGAAUUUUGAUGGGGAAUGCAUUGAAUCUAUAGAUUGCUUUUGACAAAAUGGCCAUUUUUACUAUAUUAAUCCUGCCAAUCCAUGAGCAUGGGAUUUCUUUCUAUCUUCUGACAUCUUCAAUUUCUUUCUUUAGAGACUUGAAGUUCUUGUCUUACAGAUCUUUCCCUUGCUUGGUGAGAGUCACACUGAGGUAUUUCAUGUUAUUUGUGAGUAUUGUGAAGGGUGUUAUUUCCCUAAUUUCUUUCUCAGCCUGUUUAUCCUUUGAGGAGAGGAAGGCUACUGAUUUGUUUGACUUAAUUUUAUACCCAGCCACUUUGCUGAAGUUGUUUAGCAGGCUUAGUAAUUCUUGGAUGGAACUUUUGGGGUCACUUAAGUAUGCUGUCAUAUCAUCUGCAAAUAGUGAUAUUUUGACUUCUUCUUUUCCAGUUUGUAUCCCUGUGAUCUCCUUUUGUUGUCUGAUUGCUCUGGCUAGAACUUCAAGAACUAUAUUGAAUAAGUAGGGAGAGAGUGGGCACCCUUGUCUAGUCCCUGAUUUUAGUGGGAUUGCUUCAAGUUUCUGUCCAUUUAGUUUGAUGUUGCCUACCAGUUUGCUGUACAUUCUUUUUACUAUGUUUAGGUAUGGGUCUUGAAUUCCUGAUCUUUCCAAGACUUUUAACAUGAAGGGGUGUUGAAUUUUGUCAAAUGCUUUCUCAGCUUCUAAUGAGAUGAUCAUGUGUUUUUUUUUUUCUUUGAGUUUGUUUACAAAGUGGAUUACAUUGAUGGAUCUCCAUAUAUUGAACCUUUCCUGCGUCCGGGGGAUAAAGCUAUUUGUUCAUGAUGGAUGACUGUUUUGAUGUGUUCUUGGACUUGGUUUGUGAGAAUUUUAUUGAGUGUUUUUGCAUGGAAAUUCAUAAGAGAAAUUGGUCUGAAGUUUCCUUUCUUUGUAGGGUCUUUGUGUGGUUUAGGUAUAAGCAUAUUUGCACCUUCAUAGAAGGAAUUUGGCAGUGUUCCUUCUGUUUCUAUUUUGUGGAAUAGUUUGGACUGUAUUGGCAUUAGGUCUUCUAUGAAUGUCUGAUAGAAUUCUAUGGGAUCUGAUAGACACCCAUCUAGUCAUGGGCAUUUUUGAUUGAGAGACUUUUAAUAACUGCUUCUAUUUCUUUAGGAGUAAUGGGACUAUUUAGAUGGUUUAUUUGAUCCUGAUUUAACUUUGAUAUCUGACAUCUGUCUAGAAAAUUGUCCAUUUCACCCAGAUUUUCCAGUUUUGUUGAAUAUAGGGUUUUGUAGUAGGAGCUGAUGUGUUUUUUAAUGUCUUCAGUUUCUGUAUUUGUAUUCCUUUUCUUUUCUGAUUUUAUUUGGAUACUAUUUCUAUGCCCUAUGGUUAGUCUGUCUUAGGGUUUAUCUACCUUGUUGAUUUUUUUCAAAGAACCAGUUUCUGGUUUUGUUGAUUCUUUGAAUAGUUCUCUUUGUUUCUACUUGGUUAAUUUCAGCUCUAAGUUUGAUUAUUUCCUGCCUUCUACUCCUCUUGGGUGUUUUUGCUCUUUUUGUUCUAGACCUCCCAGGUGUGCUGUUAAGUUCUAAGUGUAGGAUCUCUCCAAUUUCUUUGCCAGGGCACUUAGUGUUAUGAAUUUUCCUCUUAGCACUGCUUUCAAUGUGUACCAUAAGUUUGUGUAUGUUGUGCCUUCAUUUUCAUUAAGAUUUAAAAAGUCUUUAGUGUUUUUCUUUAUUUCUUCCUUGACCAAGUUGUCAUUGAGUAGAGCAUUGUUCAGCUUCCACGUGUAUGUGGGCCUUCUGUUGUUUUUGUUGUUAUUGACGACCAGCCUUCACCCAUGGUGAUCUGAUAGAAUUAUUUCAGUAUUCUUGUACCUGUUUUGUGACCAAGUAUAUGGUCAAUUUUGGAGAAAGUACCUUGAGGUACUGAGAAGAAGGUAUAUUCUUUUGUUUUAGGAUAAACUAUAGGUAUUUGUUAAAUCCAUUUGGUUGAUAACUUAUGUUAGUUUUAUUGUGUCUUUGUUUCUGUUUUUAUGAUCUGUCCAUUGAUGUGAGUAGUGUGUUGAAGUCUCCCACUAUUAUUGUGUGUGGUGCAAUAUAUGCUUUGAGCCUAGUUCCUUUUGUGUGGGUGCCCUUGCAUUUGGAGCAUAGAUUGUCAGAAUUGAGUGUUCGUCUUGGUGGAUUUUUCCUUUUGAUGAGUAUGAAGUGUCCUUCAUUAUCUUUUUUGAUAAUUUUUUGUUAAAAGUUGAUUUUAUUCAAUAUUAGAAUGGCUAUUCCAGCUUGUUUCAUGGGACCAUUUGCUUGGAAUUUUUUUCCAGUCUUUUACUCUGAGAUCUUGUCUGUCUUUGUCACUGAGGUGCAUUUUCUAUAUGCAGCAAAAUGGUGGGCACAUUUUAUGUAUCCAGUCUGUUAGUCCAUGUCUUUUUGUUAGGAAAUUGAGUGCAUCAAUAUUAAGGAAUAAUGAUUGUUGUUUCCUUUUAAUUUUGUUGUUAGAAGUAUAAAUUAUGUUUGUAUGGCUAUCUUCUUUUAGGUUUGUUGAAAGAAGAUUACUUUCUUGCUUUUUCUAGAGUGUAGUUUCCCUCCUUUUGUUGGAAUUUCCCAUCUAUUAUCCUUUGUAGGGCUGGAUUUGUGGAAAGAGAUUAUGUAAAUUUGGUUUUGUUAUAGAAUAUCUUGGUUUCUCCAUCUAUGUUAAUUCAGAGUUUUGCUGGGUAUGGUAGCCUGGGCUAGCAUUGUGUUCUCUUGUUUCUGUAUGAUAUCUGCCCAGGAUCUUUUCCCUUUCACAGUCUCUGUGGAGAAUUCUGGUGUAAUUCUGAUAGGUCUGCCUUUAUAUGUUACUUGACCUUUUUCCCUUACUGCUUUUAAUAUUCUUUCUUUGUUUUGUGUGUUUGGUGUUUUGACUAUUAUGUGACUGGAGGAAUUUCUUUUCUGGUUUAAUCUAUUUGGAGUUCUGUAGGCUUCUUUUAUGUUUAUGGGCAUCUCUUUCUUUUGGCUAGGAAAGUUUUCUUCUAUAAUUUUGUUGAAGAUAUUUACUGGCCCUUUAUAACUGGCUCUUCUAUACCUAUUAUCCUUAGGUUUGGUUUUCUCAUUGUGUCCUGGAUUUCCUGGAUGUUUUGAGUUAGAAACUUUUUGGUUUUUGAAUUUUCUUUGACUAUUGUGUCAGUGUUUUCUAUGGUAUCUUCUGCCACUGAGGUUCUCUCUUCAAUCUCUUGUAUUCUGUUGGUGAUGCUUGUAUUUAUGACUCCAGAUCUCUUUCCUAGGUUUUCUAUCCCCAGGGUUGUGUCUCUUUUUUGAUUUCUUUGUUGUUUCUAUUUCCAUUUUUAGAUCCUGGAUGGUUUUGUUUGAUUUCUUCACCUGUUUGGUUGUGUUUUCCUGUAACUCUUUAAGGGAUUUUUGUGUUUCCUCUUUAAGGGAUUCUACCUGUUUGUUUGUAUUGUCCUUUAUUUCUUUAAGGGAAUUAUUUAUGUCCUUUUGUAAGUCCUCUAUCAUCAUCAUGAGAUGUGAUUUUUAAAAUUAAAUCUUGCUUUCCCGGUGUGUUGGGACAUCCAGUACUUGCUGUGGUGGGAAAACUAGGUUCUGAUGAUGCCAGGUAGUCUUUGUUUCUGUUGCUUAGGCUCUUGUGCUUGCCUCUCUCUGUCUGGUUAUCUCUGCUGUUAGUUGAUCUUGCUGUCUCUGACAGGAGCUUGUCCCUCCUGUGGUUCUGUGGUCCUGUGAGCCUGUGAUCUUAGAAUUGAGAACACUCCUGUAAGACCAGCUCUCUGAGGACAGUUUUUGGGUCUGGAGGGCUAUGGAUAGCCUUAGAUCUGAGUGCAGAUGGAAACCAGAAGGGUCCUUUCCCAGUCUCCUGAGUCUCCUGGUGAGUCUCUCCUUGGACAGUCAAUGGAGUGAAAGUGGGGUCCGAUCUGUGGGCUUCAGAAUGAGAGUCUUCCUGGGAGACCGGCUCUCUCCAGGCAGGUUUUGGGUCCGGAGGGCUGUGGGACAGCCCUAGCUCUGGGCACAGAUGGAAACCAGAAUGGUCCUGUCCCAGACUGCUCUGUGGUUCCUGUGCCCAGUACACUCCUGUCUGGUCUCUCUUUGGACAGUCAGUGGAGAGAAAGUGGGGUCCCACCUGUAGAAUUAGAAGUAAGAACGCACCUGGGAGACCAGCUCUCUGUGGGCAGGUUUUGGGUCCUGAGGGCUUAUGGGACAGCCCCAGCUCUGGGGGCAGAUGGAGACCAGAAGGCGAUUUUAUUCUUUGAGUUUGUUUAUAUAGUUGAUUAAUAGAUUUUUGUAUGUUAAACCAAAAUGAAGUAGGAUGAAGCCUACUUGAUCAUUGUUCUGUUGGUGAUGCUUGCAUCUGUAAUUCCUGACCUCUUUCCUAGGUUUUCAUUUCCAGGAUUGCCUCCAUUUGUGUUUUCUUUAUUGUUUCUACUUCUGCUUUUAGAUCUUGGACAAUUUUAUUUUAUUACUUCACCAGUUUGAUUAUGUUUUCCUAUAAUUAUUUAAGGGAUUUGUUUCCUCUUUAAGGUCUUCUACCUGUUUACCUGUGUUUUCCUGUAUUUCUUUCAGUGAGUUAUUUAUAUACUCCUUAAAGGAGUCUAUUAUCUUCAUGGGAUAGGAUUUCAGGGCAGCUUCCUGAUUUUCACAUGCGUUGGUGUAUUCAGGAUUUGCUGUCGUCAGAGAACAGGGUUCUGAUGAUGUCCACAUAUAUUGCUUAUGGUCUUGUGCUUGUCUCUCACCAUUUGGUUAUCCCUGGUGUUUCCUGGUCUGGCUGUCCCUGUAUAGAGUCUGCCUCUUUUGUCUUUGGACUGCUUUAGGUCUCCUGGUAGGCCUGAGUCCCUGGCUGUAGCAGACCUCCAGCCGGGCCUUCCAACUGUGGGGUCUUCAGAAGGGCAGAGAAGCUGCUGAUCUGUUGCCCUGGCUGCAGCAGAUCUCCUGGGAGGCUUCAGACUCUUGGUCUUCAGAGGAGCAGUCAAGCUGCUGUUCUGUGUGAAGCUCUUCGGGGGGUGGCGGGGGGGGGCUUCAGACUGUAGUUUCUGUUUCCCUGUGAACAGCAGAACUCCAGGGAGGCUUUCAGUCUGUUGGGUCAGUUGCGUUGCAUGCCGCAGAGCCCUGAGAUGUCUUCAGACUGUGGUAUCAGUUGCCCAGUUGCCCUGUGUGCAGUGGACUUCCUGGGAUGCCUUCAAGCUGUGGUGUCUUCAGGGGAACAGACAAGCUGGUGAUCAGUUGCCCAGUUGCCCUGUGUGCAGUAGAUCACCUGGAAUGUCUUCAGGCUGUGGUGUCAGUUGCCCUGAGUCCAGUGGAACUACAGGAUGUCUUCAGGCUCUGUUGUCUUUUGGGCAGUAGCCUAGCGGGGAGUCUGCCCUGGUGAAGGCACCAGCCGGAAAGGGCUGUAGCUUUGAUCUUAUCCUAAGCACAAGGAGUCUUUAUCUGACAUUCUCUGACCUUCCAGAGCACUCUGCAGCCCAGCCCUGGCUCACUUUAUCUGACUGUUAGGCAGCAGUCAGCUCACAGGGUAUAUAACCAAACUGAAUUGUUUCAAUAUAUUAUUCACUAUAGAGUAGCCAUGUACCCUAAGUUGAGAAAUUAUACAUUACAGGAAGACCAUGAGGGGUCCGUUACUGUUACUGUGUCUCCUUAACUGCAGCUCCCCACUCAUGGGAGGCUGGAUGAUUCUAGUCAGUAUAAAGUCCAAAGAUCAUCUCAUGGUGGUAGGAAUUGGUAUCCCCGUGCCUGUGGAUUCAUACAAAUUUCACAAGAGACUGGAAUGUUAAAAUGCAUCAUAUUUAAGAAGUAGAUUGUUUCUAAAUUGUUCAUUAGUCUCCACACCUAUGGUGUGUGUUUAAUGGCAGUGUGGUAAUUAAUGAACUUAUUAAUUUUUAAGAUCACAAAGUAACCCUUUCUUAUUUAGUGAAUUGCACAAUGCAGCUCAGCUUUCUCAGGACAUCCUGCCAUCUGCUCUCCGUUCACAUGUUCCUUGUGACCUGACAUUCAUGGAACGCUCUCGUCUUAAAGACUGGCGACAAGUGUGCUGUUUUCUCAUUUUCUGAUUUUAAGUAUCACAAGACUUUAAAAACUUUUUUUUGCCUAAGUUGAUAAUAAUAUUCAACCUCUUGUAGAUAAAACUGCCCAACAUCUUUAGAAUGGAAUGGAAGUAAGAAUUCAUUUGCUUUUCCCAGCAAAUAUGGCUGUGUCUGGAAGUGAAGGAUAAAAGAUAAAUGAAACUGAAGGAAACAUUGAUAGUCUGGUUUUGCUUGGGUCAUGGACACUGCAGGUAAUCCUUUCUUUGUGCAUGCAGAAAGGAAAGGCAUAAUGUUUAAGAAACCCCUGAAAAUAAUGAUAUGGUAAUGAAGUUGGGCCUUAGCUAGCUAGGGGAAGACACAGAGAAUCCUGAUUACUUUGAGAAUCUUUGAGCACUCUGCAGCCCACUCCAGACUAAAGGGGCAGGACAUUAGAAGAUAGGCUGGAGUGCCUAAGUGAGCUCUGGACAGCUGGUAUUUAGGGAUCUCUAAAGCAGAAGGUGUGUCACCCCAUUAUUAACACAGCCAGCUGCUUCCAACUUAACAUACUUCAUGGCUAAAAUUCCUUAUAAAAAUCAAUUGAAAGGCCACUUUCCUAAUAGUUGGACAUAAUUAUUUCAUUUCUUAUUUUGAAAACCACUUAUUUGUGCUUGAGUUGCGAUCCUCUUAAUUCUCUUAGGCUAUUUGAAGUCAUUUAUUUGUAAAAGUUUUAUCAGAAAGGAGAGCAAGUAUAAGUCCUCAGAAAUGCUUUUCGGCAUUCACUAAUUCUUUAUUCAUUUACUUAGUCGUCUGGCAAACAUUACGUAAGGCUAUAUUUAAGGAAAGUGAAUAUUCGUGUAGGCCAUUAACCUAGCCUGAGGGUGUGUUGAAUGUGAAUUAAAUUAAAUACACAUGCACAGGCAUGCACACAUGUGUGCGCCUACAAAUGUAAUGUAAGAAAAAAACUGCCAGUAGAGGAGUUCUUACCUGUGACAAUUUGGAAAUCCCUUAAGAAGCAUUUUGAAUGCCAAAUUUGACAUAAAAAUAUGGGUAAAAUUUGAAUAUUUUGGCAGAGAUGAAAGGUAUUCCAGAUAUAAGAUUCAGUGUUGAAGAAAGCCUCUGCUGGGAACUAAUGGGGUUCCACGUGGUGAAGUGGGGAAGGCAUAGUCACAUGAAUUUGUAAAUUUGAUAAAUAUUAUACAUUCUCCAUGGGAGGGGAAAACUGGGUCUUGGAUUUUCAUAAUAAACGUGGUAAAAUUGUUGGAGGGCAGAAUGUAGUAGCAGAAGUAUAAUUCCAUCUCUACCUUCUCAGGCCAUCCACAUCCCAUUUACACAGUGUGUAAAUAAAAAUCAUAGGCGAUCUAACAUUCCAACAACUCUACUGAUUGGUUUUUGUUAUCUCGAUGCAAACUAGUGUCACCUAGGAGGAGGGAGCCUCACUUAAGAGUAUGUUUCUGUGGGUAAGUCUUUGGGGCUUUUGUUGAUUGUUAGUCAAUGUCUGAAGGUCUACCGUGAGUGGUGCCUGCUGGGAACAGGUGGUUCUGGGGUGUAUUAAAAAAGCAAGCUGAAUGAACCAUAGAAAGCUAGCCAGUAAGCAGCAUUCCUCCAUGGCUUCUGCUUUAGUUUCUGCCUCUGUUGUGAGGAACCACCAGAGAAGACUACUUGGACAUGGGUUUAAGCCAAUAGAAAAAUCUUCUUUUUUUUCCCAUGAGAAUUGCCAUUUAUUCCCAAAGUUGCCAAAAUCAGCACCAAAGAUUCACCAGGAGUGCCAAGAGAAUGAGGAGGCUCAAACACUGAUCGGGGGUUGUCAGUUUAGAGGGAAGUGGAAUGGCUAGGGGAACCCCAGCUGUCCCUUCGCCAUCUAAUGUCUCAGAAAAGCAUCUUUCUCUGGCUGGCCUCCCCUCCCCAUCCCCAUGUCCAGUUUUUCUCAAGGGGAGAUGGGUUGGGGACUUAGAAAGAAGUUGUAGUGUGAGUGGGCCCUAGGAUGGGGAAGGGCACUGGGGGGUGCAUUUCACAUGUACUCACAAGAAAAUCCUCAUUAGUCAGCCAGCAAGCACACUGGGCAUUUGGGAUCCCAGUGUAGCACCAAUCCUUACACACACACACACACACACACACACACACACACACACACACACACACACACACACCAUGUUCUGGGUCGAUAUACUUCAUUUAACAAGAACAGUUAGCCUGAAGUGGAGCUACAGAAGCCAAAAAGCAGGCUUAGUACGUUUAGGGGAUUUCCCAGAACUGUGGACGUCGAUGGAUUAGGUCUUUGUUUUUGGUUGGCAGGUGGUGCUGUCUGCACGCUGAGUUUUAUGGUCUGAAUGGCAUUUCCAUCAUGGAGUCAGUUGUGCUAAGGUCUGGGGGCUUGCUUUAUCUCUAGGUUCUUGCCUUGAGUUCAUGCCCAGUGUCUCUUCCUGAUAGACUAAGCGCUGUAGGAUGAAAUAACACCCCCCCCCCGUUUGCUAUGGACACGGUGUUGAUCGCAGCAGUAGGAAGCAAACUGAGAAGCGGCUGUAAUAUGACCGGUCUCUGAAGUGUUGGCUGACAUUUUUAUCCUGGUCUGAGCAUUACUUAUUUUUUUCCCUAACCAUUUUCUUACAUCCCAUAGGCUCCGUUCCCUAGAAACAGACACCAAAAUGGGAAUAUUUCAAUGCAAGAACUUUAUUGUCAGUGCUCUUGGGAGAACCAGAGCAGAGAAUACUGAGAAAAGUCUGGAGGGAGGAAAGGCAUGAGGUAGAUGUAGAUCGUUUCUCCUGAAGUCUAGCCUUGGUCAAGAGGACCUCAUAGCUAUCACACCCUUUGUUCUCUUUCAGGAAUUGUUCACUAACUAAAUCUAUCUUCAAAAGAUGUAGAACUUCCCAUACUUUUCUAGAGAGGCCACUCCCAGAUGCAGAGGACAUUUCUUAGGAGGAAGUACAGUUCCUAGCAGUCAGUACUCAGAGGAGCUGAGAGACAGAGGCACUGCAGAAAAGGGGCAGCUGGUUUUUUGUAAGAGUAAUUUUGUCCCUGGCAGACUUUUGGUACAGUAUUUGAGGAAGGUUUUGCUUAGUCUGAAUCAGAAAAGGCUGAUUUGAGUUAUUGCUACUGGUGUGAAAUAAACAGAGGCCAGGAAUACUGAUAAAGAGCCCACAAUUCCCAGAAUACACUGUAUUCUGUAAUUCUUUGUGAUCAGGCUAAACUGUCAUUAUAGGGAUGACACACACUAGGUAGUAAGAAGCUUAGCAGGACUCUGACAAUGACUACUACACCUUCUUCUCCAUGCAUGCCUCAACUGUAUGUAUAUAUUGCUGCAGUAAGAGACAUUUGUAAAUCUUGGGUUAAUCAGGUUAACCCAUCUAUCCAUAGAUAUAUUCAACACAUGCUGCAUUAAGUGAUCAUUGAACACUUCUUACAUACUAAGGUAGUAGACUACAUAGUAGGAAUUCAGGGCCAGGCAUAGCAUGACAUAUGUUUCCAAGAAGCUUACAAAUUAAGUGAGAGACAUCAUACUCUAGUUGCUUUUCCAAGUUUGAAGGACAAAAUAUAUAUUAACAUUGGCUGACUGUAUUAAAUUUAAGACUAGAGAAUAGCAAGCUGUUGGCUCAGGAAAGCAACUGACAUGACAUGUAAUUGUCUUUUGGGAAUGGACUUCAUUAGGAGAAAGGCUGACAGGGAUAUUAGAAUUGGAACAGUACAAUUAUAUUUAAAAUAGCAUAAUAGAGCUUUGAAGGAAAAGAGAAGCUUUGCUACAUAAACUGGAGAAGAUCUUUGUGUGUGUGUGUGUGUGUGUGUGUGUGUGUGUGUGUGUGUGUGAGAGAGAGAGAGAGAGAGAGACAGAGACAGAGACAGAGACAGAGAGAGACAGAGCAGAGACAGAGAGAGGGAGAGAGAGAGAGAGAGAGAGAGAGAGAGAGAGAGAGAGAGAGAGGGAGAGAGCAAACUACUGUGAAAAGGGAUAGAGGGGGAGUCAGAGACCCAGAGAAACCUUCAGAGAAAUUGUCUGAACAACAGCAACAAAACUCUAACUUUUAAAAGUGUGAGGAUGGGGUGGGGGUACUCACUGGAAGUUUUAUAGUACAUUAUUUAAUUCAAUAUAACAUGCAUAAAACAUGGAAUAAACAGCAUGAAAAAGUCAGAGACUGGUUAGGACCAUAAAUUAGAGGCUGCUGUUAGGCCACAGCACAGGCUGCUGCUGCUGCUGCUGCUGCUGCUGCUGCUUUCUUCUUUCCUCUUUCCUCUUCUUCCCCUUCCUCCUCCUCCUCCUCCUCCCCUUCUCCUCCUCCUCCUUCCCCUUCUUCUCCUCCUCAACCUCCCCCUUCUUCUCCUCAUCCUCCUUCUUCUUCCCCUUCUUCUUCUCCUUUUCUUCCUCUUCCUCCUCCCUUUCCUCUUCUCCCUCUUCCUUUUUCCUCUUCCUUUUCUUCUUCUUCCUCCUCCUCUUCUCCCUACUCCCUUUUCCUUCUCCUUUUCGUCUUCUUCCUUUUCCUUUUCUCCCUCCUUCUCUUCUUCCUCCUCCUCUGCCUUUUCCUCUGCCGCCUCCUUUUUAAUUUUUUAAUCUGCUUUGUGAAUAAUUUUAUUUGUUGGAGAUCAUAAUAUAUCAUUUCCCCUUCCCCUCUUCCUUUUUCCCCUCAAACUCUUCCAAUGUAGCUUCCUUUUGCUGUCUUUCAAAUUCAUAGGCUUUUUUCCUUUCAAUGUGUGUGUGUGUGUGUAUGUGUGUGUGUGUGUGUGUGUGUGUGUGUGUGUGUGUGUGUGUAUUCCUCUUCAAUUCAUAUACUGUUGUUUAGUAUGUUUUUCAGGGCUGACCAUUCCACUUAGUAUUGAACAAACAACUGGCAUGUUCCUUUAAGGAGAAAGCCAUUUCUCCUGUUCUUAGCAUCUCUUAGUUGCCUGUAUUCUUCUUCUGGGGUGUGGGCAUUGGUAGCUUCCUCUCAUUCAGCACAGCAAGUCUAUCAGUGUCAUCCUUGUUCAAGUCAUGUGCAGUCCUUUUGGUAAGAUCUUGUGGGUGAAUCUUCUCUGACAUUUGUAAGAGACACAAUUUCAUAGCACACUUCCUGUUCCUCUGAAUUUUAAAAUCUUGCCAAUCUCUUUCCCAUGGUGAUCCCUGAGCUGUCAAUGUCUGAGUUGUUUUAUAGAUGUAUGCACUGGGACUGGGAUACACAACUCUGCAUUUUGAUUGCUUGUGGUUUUCUGUAACGAUCUGUGUGUUACAACAAAAAUUUCCCUUGAUAUGGUGUGAGGACUGUACUUAUCUGUGGGUAUAAGAUUAAAUAUUUAGCGUGUAGUCAGGUAUUGUUCUGGUUUAGUAAAGUGGUGGUUUAAGAUUUCUCCAAGGUCCAUGAUGUCACUAGUCAUGGGUAGUUGGCUCCAGUACCACACAGGGUUUUCUUCUUGUUAAGUCAGCUUUAAAUCCAAUUAGAGAACUGUUGUUUAACACCAUUGUGCCACUAUUACACCCUGGAGGUUUUAGUGUCAUGCUGGUCAUUGUUAUGGUUCAAAAGUGUCACAGCUUGGUAGGAUUGUUAACUGCCUCCCUCUCUGGAAGCUAAUAUAGUGCCUUUUCCUACCUCAGGUCAUAUCCAGCUUAGGUCUCCUGGGCCUUGUGUCCAAAGUACAUGGUAUCUUAAGCAAUAAGGACUAACCUUUUAUUUUGAGGCAUCAGGAGGUUUAACAAGGACAGUAUCAAUAGCUUGUUAUAUUUUGGGAUUCUCUUGGACAACCAUGAUCAACAAUUCAAAAGGGGGCUUCUCAUGCUUUACCAGGGUUUUUGUUAGAUAGUCUAUGAGUCUUUUCAGUCAAGAUGGGACAUUUUAGUUUAAACUGUAUAUUUAUGUGUAAAUACAGGUGUAAAAAUUUUUUAUGUGUUUUAUGCAGAUAGAUAAUGUGAUUCCUUCUGAGUCAUUUUUCAGAUAUCCUUACUGUUUUCCUACCCUCCUCCUUCUGUAUUUCUAUUCCUCCCCUCCUACCCUCUGUUUUGCCCAGUCCUUCAGAUCAGUUAGACCCUAUUGUUCUUCUCCCCAUCCACACAGUGGACCCUCCUUUUGCUUUCUUGGUUUCUGCAGAUUCACUCACACAUAAAGAUUCAAAGCUAGGAAUGGAUGAGAAAGAACAUGUGGAGUUCGCCUUUGAGGGCCUGGAUUGCUUCAUUAGUAUGAUUUUUUUCCUAGUUCUAUCCAUUUACCUGCAAAUUUCAUAGUUUUAUUUUUUUCUUCUCAGCUGAAUAGUAUUCUAUUGUGUAUAUGUAACACAUUUGCACUAGUCAUCCACCCCUUGAAAUGUUUAGGCUAUUUCCCUUUCCUGGUAUUGUAACUAGGGAAACAAUGGACAUGUCUGAGCAAGUAUCUGUUGAGUAGGAUGUUCCUGACUCUCUGAGUCAAGCGAGGUUGCUGCCGGAAGCAGGGACAUGACUUGAUUUCUUCAGCCUGUGGGACCUGGUUUCCUAAAAGGGAGGCCUAUGCCAUCACAGACCCAAUCAUAAAUAGCAAUCAUAAAUAUUCAAUCAUUUCUCUAACACAUAUUAUUGAGCACUUCCUACAGACUAUGUACUAUUCUAGAAAUUUAAAAGACAGCAGUUAACAAUGUGGAAAAAGUCUUUAUCUCUAAGGAGUGUAUAGUGCAUGAAAAUAACAAAUAACUAUCAUUCAAAGAAGGAAAUACAUAAAUGACAAAAAAUAGUACCGAGAGAUGCUAUGACAAAGGAAGAGUGGGCUAGUGGGCUAGUGGGUCAGAUUGAGAGUGGUAGGUAUAUUUAAUUAAAGGGUAGAGAAUCCCAUCCAAAAAUAUGAAGGUUCAGAUGAGACCUUAGUAGGGGAAAGAAAACCACUGUGAGAAGAUUCCAGGGGAUGAUGGUUUUGGAGAGAGGAAGAUGCUGGCUUCACAGUCAGAGAGCAGUGUGGGUAAAUCUCUAGUAAAGGCUGAGGUAUGAUAAGGAGUGGGAGCUAGAGGCAAGCAGGGCGGGUUAAGGCACCAUGAAGAGUGAGUAUUUUGUCCAAAUAGUCAUGGUGUUUUACUGGAAAAGAGUAUGAUGGUCCAGCAAGGUGGCUUCUGUAGUACUGGAGGAAAAGGAUCACAUGGAAAUAAAUCCUUGUGUACAGUCUUUGCUCUGUCUUCUCUUCACACCACAGACUAUCUUUCCCUCCUGUCUUCUAACUGUAAAAUGGCCACCAGGGGAAACCUGACAAUCUAGAAAUAAGUUCAACACAGUACCUUUCCAACACAUUACAUUAUUUCUGGAGAUAAAUGACCUUGAACAGGCAGCAAAAUAUUUCUCAUACGUGUGUUUUAGAUGUGGAUAUAGCAACAGAGAGAAGAAGCCUUUCAGAUUAGUGGAGUUAGGUGCUAGCUGUCUAAGAUAUACUUGGCAUAGUAUCUCAUCCAAACCAAAUCACUCUCAACUCUUAAAUAUGUACAGAAACUUUUACUUUGAAAUAUGAAUGAAUAUAAGAUGAACAAUUGUCAUGUAAUUUAUUUGUAGUUUAUGUGUGACAGAGAUUGUAUGUGUGAGUGAGUGUAUGUGAAUGUAUAUGCAAGAGUGUGUGUAUUUGUACCUGUUUAUAUGUGUGUGUGUGUGUGUGUAUGUGUGUGUGUACCAUUGUAUCUUGAAAUUCAGACUUUGCAACUAAGUUCCAAUCUUCUCACAGCUUUUCAUUAUUCAGCAAGUGUUAUUAUAGGAUAGACUUGAGUUUGAAUGAUACUAUUUGUGUAAAAUGAAUUCUUUUUAUGUGUUACAAUUCUUUUGUACAUAGUGGCUAAUAACAUUUUUUGAUAUAUUAAUAGAGAGUUUAACAGAAGCCUAAAUGAGCUUGUAUAAUUUAUGGAAGUAUUUUAUAGGCAAGGAGUUUAUUUGAAAAUUAAUUGCAUGGAAUGUAUAUAUCACAGAGGUAAUUCAGCAUCAUUUUAAUCGUAAAGAGUAGACAGCAAGAGACUCUUUUGUUACACACCUCCUUUUGAACACUCUUCUCCAAGGUUCAUAUGAAUGUGUUUAUCAAAGGUGGAGCUUUAAAGUUGAUUUUAAAAGACACUGGAUAUUUAGCUGCAUUUAUAAUUGUUUUAAAUAUCCCCUUAUGAAUCAAAACAAGUGAAUUUUCUUUUUGACUGUCCUGGAGAUCUCAUUAAUGUCUUGGUAUGUUAAAGACAGUAGCAAUUGUUCAUAAUUUAGUCAUUUGAUGACUGUUUAUUUUAAAUUCAUGAUAUAACAGACUGUCUCUUGGCAGAGAAAUAGGAAUUAUGUUAUGAUUCCCAUGUGUGUGAUUCUGCAGUCGUCCCACAGAUUUUACACACAGCAGCCGCCUGACUGCUAAUACUUUACAAAUAUGCAGAUAUAGAAGACUGUAUUUGCACAAACAGGCUUCAUUAUCUAUGUGCAUUCUGCUUAAUGUGCUUAAUUUUUGAAUAUGGCAAAUAUUAUGGCAUAAUUUUAAAACACAAAAAUCUUAUGAAGAGCAAAACUGUGACACAGUGAUAAAUCCUUUUGCUGAGCAGACUAGUUCAUAUGUGAUUAACCACUGAUUCUCUAAGUUGAAUGAUAUUAAAUAUUCUUUAAAUUGUCACAGUUGUCCUAUGGGUACCAUUCUGCUCAUAUGUGCUUGCAAAAUCAUAAUGUAAAUAAUACUUUAUGGCAUGUCCCUUCUUCUUCCCCCUGAUAUGCUGUGAGGUGACAAAGUUUCAUUGCAAACGAGAGUGUCUUCUAGAUUCUACUAGAUUUAAGAAGCAUGACAACUUAUUUAUUGGGUAUGUUGGGCUCUGGUCCCAAGCCACAACGGAAUUUUGAGUUGCUAUUCUUGUUCUGUAAGUUAUGCAGACUGAUAUUACUAAAAUAACCAUAAGACAGCUUUAUGACAUAUUCUCAUGGAAUUGUUUGUGAACAUCAAAACAUAGGUAGAAUGUCAUGAAAAUAAAUAUGGGUUCCAUAUCAUGUUUAUUAAUCUGAUUCGUAAAUGCAGUCAUGGUGUUUUCUGAAACUACUUUUCAACCUUUGUUGUAGACUCUAGUUCACUUAGGACAAAAAUCUCUUUUAUAUAUAUUAUAAAAAAUAUUUACUGUAGAAUGACUUUGAAGAAAAUCGGUCUAUUUUCUUUCUUGAGAUAGAAUGUUUCUAUGUAGUCAAAAAUGCCCUGAAGCAUGCAAUUAAUCCAGGCUGGCUUCAGUUUACCUUGGAGUCCUCUGAUUUAGCCUUCUGCAAGCUGGGGUUGCAGGUUUGUACCAUACAAUCAUUAGCUGAAAUUUCAGAUUGCAAGUCUAAACCUGUGGCAAUUCUUUUGCCAAAUUUACACACACUAUAGGUGUGUGAACUUAGACAUUCAUACGAAGUUCACAGGUAAAUUCCUCACAAUAGAACAACUCAAAAAUGACUGAAGUCUCCUCUAAGGGAAUGAUAGACAAAAUAUAUUUUGGUGGAUUCAGACAGUAAUAUAUAGUGUUGUAAGAAGCACAUAUCUAACAAUAUGUAUUGCUUGUGUAAAAGAAUCUACACACACACACACACACACACAUAGACACACACACACCAUGGGUGAUUCCAUUUAAAUAAAAUUCAUAAACAGACUGAUUUAUGGUAUGAAGAAAUAUAAAUAAUGAUUAAUGAUUAAGCCAAAAAAGCAAAUGGUUACUAAAGGAAGGUGAUUGGAAUCUCCCUGAUCAAUGGUUGUGGUUAUGAAGGGUGCUCCAUGGUGCUUUAGAAGAAUGCCUAGUGCUCUUUUUCUUCACACAGAUGCUGGUGCUCAAGCAUUUACAGUAAAUUUGUAUGUACAAUAUGCUUAUUAUGUUUCUCAAAACUUAAAGGAGCAUUUAUUCUACCUCCCUAACUCUAGAACUCUGCUGGGGAUUGAUAUUUGUAAAAGUACUUUUCAGAAUGAAGGGAUGAUGGUACUUGUGGAAGCCUCUGAACAGAGGAAAAGCAUGAGACUCAAGGUUUCCAACAUAGCCAGCGACUUCUUUUUGCUAUGUACAGACAAACAUUGGUUGACUGAGAUUCUCAGUUCCUGAAUUUUACAUUCUGUUUAAAAAUAAAAAAAAAACCUCAAUGAUUAUAUGGCUUGCUGUGUGUGUGCAUGCGUUCUGUAUCCUAUUUCUGGGUCACACCUGCAGCUGACAGAACAGUGUGCCCUGUACCCCAACACAUAGGAAUUUUUUAGCUUUUCUUAAGUCACUCAUAAAAGCAUGACUGCUGACUAUUUGACAGAGGGCUAAACCACUCUCAGCUCUUUGUAUGGUAUAAACUCAUUUUUUUUCUAGAAGUAAAGUACUCAUUUACUAAUAAUGAUGUUAGCAAACGCUGGCAUGGUGUCUCCUGUGAAAAUUUAGUAUAUGUAGCAUGCUGCAUGAAAAUUGUUAUGUGAAUCUCAUAAUAUAUUGUGGUGUCUCAUGAUAAUACCAACGAUUUUAGUGAUUAUGAAUCACAAGACUCAAGAGUUUUCACAAAAUAAUUCUGUGUAACUGCAAGCUCACUGUUCUUCUUUAGUAGUGUGCAUGUCAGAGAAGCUUCAUUUCCUUCUAGUAUGUUGAGAAAUGAACAUUUCUUUAUUUAUCGGUUACAAUUCCCGGUCUAUCUUCUGUAGUUAUGGCAGAAACUAAAAACUGGUUAGUUUGUAAGAAAAUAAAUUUCCAUUACAAGUGAGAGGAUAAAUCCCUCUGUCCUCUUGCAAAGCCCUACUGCACUGCUUCAUCAACUCUAAGCAGCAUGCAGACUGGGGAGUACACUUCCAUAGCAUGAACUCUGAGAAAUACACUCAGGUUUUAAUGGCACAUUUGUGUAGAAUAAGAAUGAGAAGCUAUUUAUUCUCAUUCCGUCAAUUUUUUUUAUAUGACUUGGAACCUUCUGUGGCCAAACACUUAUUUGAAUCAGUAUUGAAGGCAGGGAUGGUCAAUCACCGAUUUCAAAGACUGCUUCAGCAUGGCCAGAUUCAAUGCCCAGUUUUCUGUUUUCAAUUUCUGUCUGACAUGUAGGGAACUACUGAGUAGGAGAUCCUGGCUGACAAGCGUGAAUGAUGUUGUGCCCUGAAUGCAUGGGAUGAGGCAGAGGCACUGCUGUGAGAAGGCACAUUAUUUUUGUACAGGAUUUUUGCUAGAAAGAUAAACCAAUUGCUAGGAUAUAUAAUCUUAAUUUUAGGCAACAUUGCUAGAAUAUGUAAUUUAAAUUUAUAAGGAAAGUUGGUUAACUAUGUAAGAGCUCAGUAUCACUUUUGUUAUUAUCUUGUUAUACUUCUGGUAAAGCAUAUACUUAUGAGAAUUUAUCCAUUUCUUUUUUAUUCUAUCAUUUGAGAAUAUAGGUUUUCAAAUAUUCUAUAAUGAUUUCCUCUUCUGUCUAUUCCGAUCUCUUUCAAAUAUUCUAUAAUGAGUCCCUCUUCUGUCUAUUCAUAUCUCUUUCAAAUAUUCUAUAAUGACUCGCUUUUUGUUUCUUCGUAUCUGUAUGGCUCUGUUGUUUCUGUCACUAUUGACUUCCAGUUUAAUUCCACUAUUGCUAAUAAUUGUCUAUUCUUAUCUUGGAGAAGGUUCAUGGAUUGUUGAGAAGACUUGUAGUCCAUGGUUGUGAGUAGAAUAUUGUGCAGAUUUAUAUUAAAUCAGUUUAGUCAAUGACUCUCUCUCUUUAUUGACUUUUGUUCUGAGAGAUCUAGCCACUGAUGAGCUACUUACCUCCCAUUGUAAAUAACCCUAUCUUUUUGUGAGCAGGAGUGCUUGUUUAUAUUAUAUAUGUAAAUUAUGUCACACAUAUAUGAAUAUGCAGGUUGCAAUUUUAUGUAUUUUGUGGAUAGUGUUCUUUAUUAAUAUGUGUGCCUUAGUGUGUAGUGCUCUUCUCUUAUAUUAUUUGUUGUAUGCUGUAUCAGGGAUAGCAGAGUUAUUUGCUUGGUUUGGCCUUCUGUUUAUUUAGGAUGUUGACUUUUACCUUUUCACUCUUCUUUAAUUUCUUUUUUUUUUUCGGAGCUGGGGACUGAACCCAGGGCCUUGUGCUUGCUAGGCAAGCGCUCUACCACUGAGCUAAAUCCCCAACCCUACCUUUUCACUCUUAAUUGUAUGUUUCUUUUCUAGUACAGUGUCGUUUUAUUUUUUAAUUGGGUGUUUUUAUUUAUUUGUUUUGUUCUUGACAAGGACUCAUGUAACGCAGACUGCCCUUAACUCUGAGUAGGCAAGGACAUCUUUAACGUCUGUUCCUUCUACUUCCACCUUCCAAGUUUGGGGAUAACAUGCAGGUGACUCCAUACCCCAUUUAUGUGGUGCUGGGGACUGAACCCAGGGCUUUGUGUAUACUAGCCAGACACUUUAUCUGAUAGACUGUAAUAGCAAAUCAUUAAAUCUUAUGUUAAGUCCAGUCACCUAGUCUGUGUCUUUAAUUGGAGAGUUAAUAGUCUUUACAUAAAGAUGCCAUGGAAAGGAAUGCUGGUAAUUGCUGUAAUUUUGUUGGUGUGGCUGUGUUUGAUUCAAUUAUUGUCUGUUCCUCAUUUCUGCUCUCUUAUUCAUAUACAUUUGUCUCCUUUAUUGUGCUGGAUGCAGUUUUUUCUUUUGCAAAAGUAUUUUUUAUUUGCCAGAGGUAAGUGCUGCCUCAGAGUCUUACUCCCUCUGUCUGCCAAUCUGCUAACCUAGGCCUAGUCCUGGAAGCUUCUAGCCAUUCCAAUCUGACCUAGGCCUAGAAUGUUUUCUGCCUCUGAGACUUGCUGCUGAGUAAACUCACCCCUUCCUAGUUCUUUCUGAACUCUCGCUGGCUGACUCAAUCUGCCCCCCACCCUUAAUCAAUCUCUCUCUCUCUCUCUCUCUCUCUCUCUCUCUCUCUCCCCCAAUCUCUGGCUCCUUCUUAUUCUCCGUCUCCGUCUCUUUUACCUGUGUCUAGCUUGUUCUCUCUUCAAGCUGUCCUAUAAAGCUCUCCAGUAAACCUACCUCCUACGUCACUUCUCUACCUGCACUGCUCUCUGAAGUAGCUUCCUUUCCCCUCUUAUAACAGUGGGCAUAUCUAUUCUGUCAAGUCUUUCUGAUUCAUCACUUUGUCUGCCACUCAAUUAGACUUCACUUUCAAAUAUGGCUGUUUCUUCCCACUAACUAACUUUUCCUUCAUUGUGUGGGAUUAAAGGUUUGUACUAAGCACAUGUCUGUAUUCCAGCGGAGAGUAUGUGCUAAGGGGUUAGCCACACAACUAGAUCAGCUUUUUUUUUUUUCAGUAAAUAACACAAUCUAAUUUAUUACAGUAUGAUCAAGUAUCUUGCAGCUUUUUUCCCCUAGAUUUUCUUUAUUAACCUAUUCCUCUCAUGUAGUUCAUUCUUCUCUAUAUUCUUUUAUCAUUGGUGCUGUCUUUUUUCCUCCUGUAUAUAAGGUUCCUUUAAGUAUCUUCUGCAGUCCUGGCCUGGGGGACAUGGACUGCUCAAAUUAUCAUAUUAAAAGAUGUUUAUCUGUCGACUUUGGAAGACAGCUUUGUUGUAUACAGUAAUCUUUGUUGAUGGUUUGUUUUCUGGGGGCAUAUCCAGCUAAAGGGAUAAGACUGCAGAGGUUGAAGUCUCACACUGGAGCUCACCAUUCUGUCUUUCUGGCAGUAAACAUCACUGCAAAUACCAGAAGUGUGGAGAGAACUGCUAUACCCUUUUCAUCAGAAUUCCUGAUUCCCUUCAGGACAAGGCUUCUCCUUCAUGCUCUGGGAAGUGUGGUGGCGAAAGCCAUAUUGAUUGUCUUGUGGACUUGUCAUUUUACUAUUCUUUUGUCAAAAAAUGAUCUUGGUAUCCAUUACUUCUAUAUCUCCUAGUAAACUGGAUAUUUUACUUUACCAAAACAUAAAUUGGAAUAUAUAGGUAUCUUUACAAAUAUAUAUCUAGAUUCUAAAUAUACAUAUUUACACCCACACAUAAUCGCCUUAAACCUGUGUGUAUAUGUGUAUAUUUGGGUGUGAGACUAUAGGAAUAUUAAUUUGUUUCCCUCUUUGACAUACAUUUAGAAUACUUCUUCCCCCCCAUUUUUAUUAAAUUGAGUAUUUCUUAUUUACAUUUCAAAUGUUAUUCCCUUUCCCGGUUUCCUGUCCAUCAACCCCCUAACCCCUCCCCCUUCCCUUCUACAUGGGUGUUCCCCUUCCCAUCUAACUCCCAUUACCGCCCUCCCCCCAACAAUCCCCUACACUAGGGGUCCAGUCUUGGCAGGACCAAGGGCUUCCCCUUACACUGGUGCCCCAACAAGGGUAUUCACUGUUACCUAUGAGGUUGGAGCCCAGGGUCAGUCCAUGUAUAGUCUUUGGGUAGUGGCUUAGUCCCUGGGAGCUCUAGUUGGUUGGUGUUGUUGUUCUUAUGGGGUCGCAAGCCCCUUCAGCUCUUUCAGUCCUUUCUCUAUUUCCUCCAAUGGGGAUCCUGUUCUUAGUUCAGUGGUUUGCUGCUGGCAUUCGCCUCUGUAUUUGAUAUGCUCUGGCUGUGUCUCUCAGGAGAGAUGUACAUCCAGUUCCUGUCGGCCUGCACUUCUUUGCUUCAUCCAUCUUGUCAAGUUUUGUGGCUGUAUAUGUAUGGGCCACAUGUGGGGCAGGCUCUGAAUGGCCAUUCCUUCAAUCUCUGCUCUAAACUUUGCCUGCCUUUCCCCUCCUCUGGAUAUUUUGUUUCCCUUUUAAAGAAGGAGUGAAGCAUCCGCAUUUUGGUCAUCCUUCUUGAGUUUCAUGUGGUUUGUGCAUCUUGGGUAAUUGAGCAUUUGGGCUAAUAUCCACUUAUCAAUGAGUGCAUACCAUGUGUGUUUUUCUGUGAUUGGGUUACCUCACUCAGGAUGAUAUUUUCCAGUUUCAUCCUAGUGGGUACAAUAUAGCAUUCUAAAUCAAUUUAUAUAUACUUAUAAAUUAUGAAUUUUAAUUUGAAAUCUUUGGGUUAAUCUUGAUCUCUUUAGAUUACACAUUUUUUUUCUUGCAACGACCAAGAUUGCAUUUCCUGCGCGUAUUUAUUCACAUAGAGGAAACGAAAGUAUGUACAGAAAUUAUGUUGGUUUUCUGUUGCUUUGCAAAUACCAUAAAAUUCAUGAUGUAUUAUAGUGUAGGUACACCAGAAGUCUAGCUGACUUUCCUCCUCAUAAGGCUGAAAUCAAGGUGUCAGUCUCUUAGAAUCUUAUCUGAAGGCUUUGGGUAAAUAUUGUUUUCUAGGACCAUUCAAAUAAUUAACACUAUUUAGUUCCUUGUGGUUGUCGUACUAUGGGUUCUGAUUUCUUGUUGACCAUCAACAGAGAGCUAUUCACAUUUCCAUCUAUCUCCUCCACCUUCAAGGGCAGCUAUAUCCUGAUUAAUACUUCAAUGCUACCCACAUUUGAAGGAGAGGAUAUUAUAAGAGGAUGAAAAUCACUGGAGUCCGUUCUUAGAAUUUUGCCUACUACAGAUAGGUAGAGGUGUAUUUAUGAUUCUGGAAUUUCCCCAAGAUGGUUAUUGGUAAGGGACCUAACAUAGGACCUAGCUUUAUUUGAUUAUUUAAUAGUGGCAUACUUCUAAAUUAAUUAGUGACAUGCAUUUUCUAUGGCUCUUUUAAAAUCUGUUAUCCUCUUUAUGUUAAAGAUUGUCUUGAAGGUCACCUUGAAAUUGGUAAACAAAAAUAUUGAUUUUUUUCUACAUUCAUUCGAAGAUUAUUAAAAAUUUUAUGAAGCACGUGAUGGGUAACCUGAUCCUUACUCCAAAGGCCCUUCCCUCCGCUGUGGCUGCAGGGAGGUGGAGUUGCUUACUGAGUCCUGCAUGAGGGUGAAAGCAGCAUGGGCUGAGAUUACGAUAAGUUUCACAAAGAAUGUCCUUCCGAGUAACAGGGCUAAAGGUUCUGUAAUAGUGCUCUUAGCCCACCGAUUCUUGUAUAUUUUUAUGCCUUUCCCAAGUCCUGUUCUACCAGCCAUUUCCCAGUUGGCAAUGCCAGCUCUUGGGAAACAAACAACUGAAAGUCUGGUUGCCAUUUACCUCUGUUUGACUUUGGCUGUGGAAACCUAAAAUAGCCAUUGUAUGCCCAGAAAAGUUGCUUUCCUCAGGUAAAAUGACCACAUGCACAGUAGUCACAGCUCUUAUGUUCUCUCCUUGAAAAGCCACAUUCAUAUUCUAUGCCCUUACGAAAAGCCACCAUGUGUGUUCCUCAGUUCAUCUGUGCUGUAUUUGGCUUUCAUUCAUUGGAGAAAUAAAUUCCAGGCAGGAUCUCCAUCUUUGUUGUGCUUUCUAAUGACUAGAUUACCCUCUGGCUGACACCACCAUUUAAGGGGCCCUUUGACUGAUCCAUUUCCUUUAUACUGGUACUUAAUAUGCGUCAAAUUUGUGCCUUUUUUAAAGCUUAUAGUCUUCCAUUCAAUAUCGUUCCAAUGUGUCUUUUAAUGAGUCAGGCUCCUCUGACAUCCCUCCCUAUUCUCACCCCAUAGACCCCAUACAUGUAAAGUUACAUUCAGCAGAGCAAAGUUUCUCAAUACAGUCACAUUCAUACAGUGGCUCAUUCAGAGAGUGCUGGGAAUCGCCUGAUGAAGGACAGGGGGCAGUGAUGUCAUAAUCCCUUCUAUGAUUCUUUUGUGUGGAUUCAACAUCUACACUGAUGCCCCUUGAAAUAGUUUGACCUCUCAGCUCUGUGACCCCAUCUGUUAAUCACUUACCAGAAUGAAGUGCCAGAAGAAUGAAGAGACAUUUUGAGUCUCUUGACUAUUCACUAUAAGUUGAUGUCUAAGAUAAAGAAAUGGAAAUUUCUAUAUCAUUGAAACUUUUUCUAUUUUUUAUUACUUAUGAGUAUGAAUUUUCCUGUCAUACUGUCGAGGUCUUAGGUGUUGUUGUUCCCCUAGAUUCCAUCUGUGACUUUGAACUGUAUUUCAUCUAUGGACUGGGUCAUAUACCUCCAGGAAGUUCAUGUUCGUAAUUACUCGUGUGGUAUCUUUUCCUUCACAUUUUAGAUCCUCCUUCCCACUUACGAUAUUCAGUUACCAUCUCAAAGAGCAUCAUCAGUGGUGGAAGAAUAGUGAUUAUAUUAGGUGACAAAGUAGUGUGGGUGAUUAUUGUGAAUACUGAAGGUGACAUUAUUCAUCUGGAAGAUAAACAGAACAAGUCACACAAAAAAUUGUGUUAUACACUUUUUCCAGCUGUACUGUGAUUGGAGUCGUUCUGUAUAUUGUCAGCACAAGCCCCAUUUAGUGCUCAGAGAGGACAUUUGUAUCAACUAUCACAAUGUGAUGAUUGCUACAGCUUGCCCAGAGCAAAACUUGUGGUAAUAAAACCUUCUAGAUUGGAA